GCUUUUUGAUGUGCUGCUGGAUUCGGUUUGCCAGUAUUUUAUUGAGGAUUUUUGCAUCAAUAUUCAUCAAGGAUAUUGGUCUGAAAUUCUCUUUUUUGGUUAUGUCUCUGCCAGGUUUUGGUAUCAGGACGAUGCUGGCAUCGUAAAAUGUGUUUGAUUUUUCAAACCAUCAAAUGAUCAUCUAUUUGCUGAUAAAAAGAGAGAAGUUCAGAGCUGUGCUGAGGUGUUUCUUCCGUGUAUAUACUCCUUUUAAGUAGCAGGAACAAAGAGAACCAGCUGAUUUUCACGUAAUUAUUUUGGGGUUUUGUUUUCCAAUUUGGGGACACAUUUCAUGAUGCAGUCAGUUCUGCUAUAAUGCUCACUUGAAAACACAAAUUUGUUCCAAAACAAUUGAUAUCUCAGGGAGCAAUUCUCACGCAAUGUGAAUUUCGUGAUUGUUUAUGCAUGGUUUCAUUUGUGAGUGAAUGAAAAAAACUGCACCCAGCUGAAUUGAGCCCUAUAGAAAUACAUAAAACGCCCAUUUCUCAAACAUCUACCAGCUACCUCACAGUUCAGGCCUUGGAUAUGAGCAUAACAGCUCCUACUGGCGUCACAGCUCUCCAGCUUCAGACAAUCCUCUUUCUACCACUUUCCAAUAACUCACAAGCUUUAGCUCUUCCAGUGCUCACUUCCAUGAGCCAACUUUCAGGUCUUUGUCAGGAUAGAAACUAUGUAUUGUCUUGAAAAUACAAAACUAUUGUAGUAUGCAUGUAUUUCUUAGCCAAUUAACUAGUGAAACACCGUGCUACCGUUUUUAUUAGGUUCCUAUCUUUGUUUUUAUGUGGCACAGAUAAAAUUUUUAGAGCGUUGCACCGUGUUUCUUUUCUCUUAAGCUCUGUGGUUUUUAUUGCUCAAUUUUCUGUGGUGUGUGAUUUUCAGGAAUGCCUAAGUUGUUAUAGAAAAACAAAUUGUGUUUUCAAAAGGUGCUAACAAAAUAUCUAACAGUAGCAAUACUUUUAAUUGUCUUAUGCUUUUCAACCUAUAGUUUCAUUUUUAUCUCGUUUUAAAUUUUUAUAACUGCUUUGAGGAAGACAUUUUAUAAGCGAGGAAUCAAAAGAUGACAGAAGAUGAAAGCUUGUUUGUCAAAAAUUAGUCCGUGUCAGAACCAUAGUCAGAUCCAAUCCUCUGUCUUCCAUUGCAUUCCACCCACUCCAGGGAUCGAGAUGAGAGGAUCCUGGCUAAUUUCUUUGACCACUGCCUUGCAAAUAUGCAUUGUGUAGCCUUCUUUGCGGAAAAAUAUUCCUGAUAGCCAAGCGAACCCCUUUGAUUGAAUAGUGAAUUUUAAAAAGCAACACAAGGAUCUUAAAUUAAGGAUUUAAAAAUUGCAGGUUAACAACACAUUUAACAGGAAAUAGGACAGUUCUGAAUUGGAUAAGAGAAGCAUUUAAGGCUGAGAAUGAUUCACUCAUCAGUCACUGCUAUAAGCUCCUUUACAUGGGCAGUCAUUGACUCCCUGGUAAUUUUAUGAUACCCAUCAUAUUGUUCUGGAUUUUCAACACUUCCAUGGCUGUAGUGGGCAGUACACUGGUUAAAAAAGAAAAAAAGCCAUAGUCCUGUCGUCUUGUGUUGCAUAUAUUUUUUUCCUCUGUCUCACCACACACACUCACACACACAGACACACACACUCACACACACAAUCUCACACACACACAGACACACACACACUCAUUCACACAGACACACACACUCACACACACAAUCUUACACACACAGACACACACACCCCACACAGACACACCUACACUCACACACACAGACACACACAUGCACACUCACAUACACUCACACGCACUCUCACACCUUCGUCUCUAGGUCUUCAUAUUCACUGUUUCCUAAGAUAAAUGUACGUAACAGAAUAUGGUAGACUUGACUACAUUGGAAGACAGGGUGCUAGAGUCAAUUUCUCAAGUUCUUGACUUUUUUUCAUAAAGAGAAAAAUGACCACACAUAUUGGUUUAUUGUCUUCUUGUAAUGAAAGUCUGACUGGAAAAAAAAUGACCUUUUAGACAUCUAGAAGUAGCAAACAUGUUGUCCUCCUGGGCAAUAUACCUUACUGUAAUGGAAUAUUGCUUACAAAACAGCAUUGAUGUCGUUUUUGAGCUGACACAUUUCUUAUCCUGCUCUGGAAUGCUGUCUUGUGAAUAGCACCAACCAUAGUGUUCCAAUGCCACUCACCAGAGUUAUUCAGGAUACCUUGCCAGUUUGACAAAUUGAUUCUUUUACAUUAAAUUAAAAGGAAUCUGGGCACUGUGUCAUAAGCUGUUGAACGAAGGCAAUCAUGGUGAUUCUUGAAUCUGUGCUACUUCAAUGCACAUGUUAAGUGCAAUGCUGUAAAAUGAGAUUAAUUCUAACAUUUGCAUUUUGCCUUGCCUCCUAUGCCAGAGAAGCAAAUGUCACAAUCUGCAUUCCUUUCCUAAAUUUUCAGUAAACCAGGACUCCUUUACAGGAAAAGGUACUGCAAAGUGUAACAUUAUAACACAAUGUUCCUCAGACCUUUACAUUCUACCAAGUUUACAUAGAGCAUUCUAGUAACACCUUAAAGGAUGAGUUUAUUGUCUAUAUCUUUCCUGUCGAGUGGCAAAUGUCAGAUGCCUGGAAUCUUAACACCAGAUGCCACAGCACUUGAAGAAUUUCUUUUGGUAGUGAACUUUCUUUACAGCAGCCUACAAUAUGGCCAGGGCAAUUGGGUGAUUUCUGUUUCUCAUAGACACCUUAUGUUGUUUAUUCUUGUCAUUUUCUUUUUCCUUUUUUUUUUUUUUGAGAUGGAGUUUCACUCUUGUUGCCCAGGCUGGAGUGCAAUGGUGUGAUCUCUGCUCACUGCUACCUCUGCCUCCCGGGUUCAAGCAAUUCUCAUGCCUCAGCCUCCCGAGUAGCUGGGAUUACAAGCGCCUGCCACCGCGCCCGGCUAAUUUUGUAUUUUUAGUAGAGACGGGGUUUCAACACAUUGGCCAGAUUGGUCUCAAACUCCUGACCUCAGGUGAUUCACCCACCUCGGCCUCCCAAAGUGCUGGGAUUACAGGUGUGAGCCACCACUCCUGGACUUACUGUUGUCAUUUUCUAUAGACGAUUUGCAUUCCUUGAAUGUUACAGGAGAGGUUAUUGUGAGAGAUGCAAAGAAAAUACCAUGACCAGUUUUUGUGUUCCUCUUCUGGCCAUGCGUUCACUCAUGAAUACCCCUCUCAUGUAGCUGACCGCUGUCCUUGGUUUAGAGACGAAGACAGACGGCAAAAAGACAAGGGAGACCUGAUGUGCUAAGAAGUGAGUUCCUGCAAUUUUUUUUUAAAAAUUCAAACAUUUUUUGGGGAAAAAACUCUGCAUUAGCUAGCUUUCUAUUAAUGAAUCCUCUUUUCUUUUCUUUGCUGCACCAAGUGUCUUUUCUGUGUGUAUUAAGCUAAGAGGGCCCCCCCACCCCCCGGCACAGUAGACUCGCUGUAAGUACUUGCAGCGUGAAUCAAUGAACAGGCCUGGAGGGCGUGCUGGAAAAAGCAGCCAGACUCAUGAUCAAAUCUACUAGAUUAAGAGCACUUGUAUCCAGGCCAUGACAGAAACCUCAACGACUACUCAGAAGCUGUCUAGCCCAAGCCCGCUGAAGUAUUCACACAGCUGGGCACAGUCUUCUCUGGGUCUCUCAGGUCAUAGACCAGCUGAUAAAAGACAGUUUGCUCCGGUUCUCUGUCAGGCUUGUUGCUGUCACCUUGCAGAGCAGAUGCUUCUCCCAGGUGCUUAAUCCAUAUCCGUGUCAAAACAGAAAAUUGCCCCCAUGCUUCCUAACAAUUGACAACUUAAAUAACAUGGCGGUAUUUGGAAUAGAGUUGUUUUAGGCUGAUAUUUUUGGUGGUUCUAGGCUAAAUCCCAAAACGUAAUCAUGACUACUUCUAUUCUCAAUGGACUGUAAGAGAUUUGAUUGAGAGAACAGGCUGGCCCUGUUUCUCCAUUCUGAUCACUGUUCCCUGGCCUGCAGGCUAAAGAAAACACUCAAUGUCCCCCUCAUUCCCCCCACAUUCUCCCUAUCUCCCUAGCAACAGCAAAGCCCACUGUUUCUAAGUGGCAUCAUUGCCUGAAAUGGGCCCUUAAAAAAGAGUAAAGAUCAUUGUCUCCAGAGUUAUACCUAAUUUCCCCUUGGUAAGGCUGUUUGCAUCCAAAUGCACAAACAUUUUCAGUAUAAAGUCAUAAGAAUGAAAUCAGUCGAUGGAAUGAGGUGAAGAGCUGAGUAUCAACAUAUAACCAAAAUCCUCAUUAAACACAUUUCCUUAUUGUCUCCUAUUUCUGUACCGCAAGGCAAUGUGACUUUGGCUGAGGAGACCCACCCAAUGUUAAGGAGCUUGGGACUAACCACUUCUCUGGGAAGACAUCCCAUUCAUUCAUUCAUUCAUUCAUUCAUUCCGAAGUAUUGACUGAGCAUCUGUUGUGUGUCAGAUACUGCAGGUGCUGGGCGAUACAUCAGAGAAACAAUGCUCUUACUCUUGUCAUAUUUCUGUUUCAUAGUGGAGACGUUUAUGUGUUGACCUCACUUAUAAAUAGGGCCUAAUAAAAGGCCCGUCGUAGAAUGGGUGAUCAAUAAUCAGUAUCCUCUUUUUAUCUUCUCUUUACCUAGAUUUUAAUUUUCUAAAGGAUACCUAUGUAUUUUAGUUGGUUUGAAUGAAUACCUAAAGCUUUUUUAACAGUUGGUUGAAAUCACUCGGUGAAUUAAUCAAUACAUUUAAAGGGCCUACUCACUGAUUUUACUAAGUGGGAAGUACCAGGAUAAUUGAUGCACUCAAAAAAGCCUGAUUUUUAAAAAUAUAAUAUGCAUUUGUUAUUUCUCUGCCAUGAUAGUGGUUACAUUGAACUCCCAUUAGAUUCUUCUUCAUUGUGGAACUAUUAAUAGGUGCAUGAAUUUAGUAAGUUUUUCUUCAAACACUUAAAUUCAUUAGGAAGGAGUAGAAAGAGUGCAUUUUCAAGGCCCACUCAUAGUAUUCUGGAUGGUCUCAGGAUCCUCUCUGUAAAUGACUCAUUCAGUAAAUUGCAAAUAGAGAUUGGGCGGGAACAAGAGCAUUUUCUAUGGUCAUAUUUAUAGCAAAGCUGGAAAAAUAUCUAAACCAUGGGAAACAAUAGAAUCUUUCAAUAAAAAUCCAUUCAAAACACAUUCAACAGGUGAACAAAUACUGAUUUGCCUGCAAGUACUUUUCUUUCAUUUUUACAGCCUUUCUCCCUUGCCAACUAUCUCAUUACCUGGUUGUUAGUGUGAUUUGAAAGAAAAUACUGGGACACCAUUCACCUAACAUGUUUUGCCAGUUAACUGCUUCUGUUCCAAACUAGGUAUCUAGGGUUUUGUGUGUAUGUGAGUGGAUAUAUGUGUGUGUAUGUGUGUGCACACAGGAGGGUGUGUUCAUGUGUGAGGAUGUGUGUGUAAAGGUGUGUGCGUAUGUGUGCGAGUGUGGGGACAUGUGUGCAUAAGUGUGUGAGGGUAUGUGUAUAAGGGUAUAUGCAUGUGUGUGUGUGUAAGAGUGUGUGCAUGUGUUGUGUGGACAUGUAUUUGUGUGUGAAAGGGUGUGUGCAUGUGUGUAGACAUGUGCAUAUAUAUGGCUGUGAAGGUGUGUGUAUAAGGGUUUGUACGUGUGUGUGGACAUGUGUAUGUGUGUAAGGGUGUGUGCAUAUGUGUGUGGACAUGUGUGUAUAUGGCCAUGCGAGGGUGUUUGUGUAACAAUGUGUGCCUGUGUGUGAGUGGACAUGUGUGCAUAUGUGCAUGUGUGGGUGUGUGUAAAGGGUGUGUGGACAUGUGUGUGCGUGUGAGGGUGUGUGUAAGUGUGUAAGGGUGUGCAUGUGUGUGGACAUGUGUGCAUAUGUACAUGUGAGGAUGUGUUUGUAAGGGUGUGGACAUGGGUAUAUAUGUACAUGUGAGGGUAUGUGUGUAAGGGGGUGUGUGUGUGGACACGUGUGCAUAUGUGUGUAUGAGGGUGUGUAAUAGUGUGUGCAUGUGUUAUGUGGACGUGUGUAUUUGUGCAUGGGAGGGUGUGUGAAUGUGUGUGGACGUGUGUGAGUGUGUGUGUGUGUGUGAGAAAAAGAGGAGAGAAAGAAAAUAGCUACUCAUGGUUUCUUGGAAAAUAUAUUAACCUCUCUUCUCUUUAUUCUGAUGUGAAUUCCGUGCUUCAGCACCCAUAAACCUUUCCAGAUUCAUUUCUACUGGCUGCUCUCUAGAGAAAGUCACUUCACCUUUCUACACCUUUUUCCUUCUACAAAAGAGAAGGUGGGUCCCCUGCGGUGGCCCUCGGAGAGCAGCAGGCAUGGUCCUGCACUACCCCAUGGCCGUGGGCCUCAACAAAGGCCACAAGGUGACCAAGAACGUGAGGAAACCGAGGCACAGCCAAGGCUGCGGGCGCCUCAGCAAACACCAAAGUCGCGCAAGACAUGCCCCGAGAGUGUGUGGCUUUGUCCCGUAGAGCGGUGUGCUGUGGAGUUGCUCAAGCUCUCCCAGGACAAACAGGCCCUCAGGUUCAUCAGAAAAAGGGUGGGGGGCACACUUCCCCCCCAAGAGAAAGUGAGAGAACCUGUGCAAGGUCCCGGCCCCGCCCUGAGGAAAGCAGCUGCCGGGGACUGAGCCCCUUCCCCCUUGCAUCUUUGCAGAGAAAAAAAAAAAAAAAAAAAAAAAAAGAUGGGAAGAGUAGUUUGUUGGAAAACCUUCAUGGCCCACCCAGCUGUAAGAUUAUGCUAUUCUUUUUACAAGUGUCUCAGGGGAAACGUGUCCUCCGAUUCUCUGCUUCCCUUCCCUAAGAAGCUGACAUGCUCAUUAGCAGCAGUGGCGUUGCUGGUGCCUGAACCCACAAGGGCAUGAGUGAUCGAUGACGUUUUAAAACUCCAUCUAGAAACUGGAGAUUCAGUACGAUGUGGAGUUCAGAAUGUGUGUUUUUCUGAAUGUGUUUCUCCAUUGACAUGUCUUCCGUUCAUAAGUUAGAGAAAACUAGUCAGUGGCGUUAGAAGCACUGGAAAAGAAAAUAUUUGUAAAUUAUUUCAUAAAAACUUGGGAAUGGAAAUUAGCCAGUGAAAGCAGUUAAAAACUCCUAAAAGAAUCUACCUGAGAAAAUCUGAAAUGUCUUCAGAGAAAUUAAGCAACUGUACCAUUUAAAAAUAGAUGGUCUGAAAAUUUUAAAACCUUGAAAUAAUAUACUAGCUGAGGUUUAUUGUCAAGUUAGGUUGUUAAAUAAUACAACAGCUUUUUUUUGACAGAUCAAGAGGGUUACAACAGAUUAUAAUUACUACAAUUAGUAAUUGUGAUUUAAUCAUGAACCACCUAAAUAUAGGUAAUAAUAGAGUGCUGAUGAAAAUGUGUUAAGUAGGUCUUUAACAUGAUAAUCUCAUGACUUCCUCAAACCUCACAUAUGUACAAAUGUAUUUUUUUCUCAGACUUCUUUACUUUUUCUUUAUUUUUAAGCCAGCACAGUAACUAUCAUUAAUGUCCACUGCUGUCUUGCAAAAGUACAUAACUGGAAUUUUAAACUAACUGCCUAUUUAGCAUUAAGUAUAUAACUCAGAGCUUUGUUAAGACAGGAAACCUGUAUGAUCAGUUCUCUUCACAACACCCACUCCCGGCCCCUACCUUGCCCUCCUGCUAAGGGAUUUGCUUUUAUACCCAGCUGUAGCACCCAGAGCCCAAAUUCCUGUCUCAGCUAUGAUAAAACCUAUUAACCAUCAGGGACCUACUGAGCCACUUGCAAGUAGAAAAAUCUAUAACUCCAGUACACUCACAACUCCUGUUGGCUGUGCGUCAACUCAGUCCUUGGACCUCCCUACUUGCUUCUCCCUACUUCCAGAGUUACACUUUGAUUUUAGCCAUGACCAUGGCUCUCCCGGGUAGCCAUAACACCCUCCUAGAUUAUUUCUCUAUUUUCACACUUGCACACUUGCCUCUAGAGUCUUGUCUACCACAGCAGUCAGAGUGAUCUUGUUAAAAUAUAAAUUAGGCACAGGCUUGUAGUCCUAGUUACUCGGGAGUCUGAGCCAGGGAGAAUAGAGAAUGACUUAAGCUCAGAAGUUUGAGCCCAGGCUGGGCAACGUAGCAAAAUCUCAUCUCUCAAAAAAUAAAUAAAAUAAGGUGUAAAUUAGCCAAAUGAUUGAUUAAUAUAAAUUUCUCUUAUAGAUGUAUUUAAAAUAGUAAAUGCGGGCCGGGCGCGGUGGCUCAAGCCUGUAAUCCCAGCACUUUGGGAGGCCGAGGCGGGUGGAUCACGAGGUCAGGAGAUCGAGACCAUCCUGGCUAACACGGUGAAACCCCGUCUCUACUAAAAAUACAAAAAAUUAGCUGGGCGUGGUGGCGGGCGCCUGUAGUCCCAGCUCCUCGGGAGGCUGAGGCAGGAGAAUGGCCUGAACCCGGGAGGCGGAGCUUGCAGUGAGCCGAGAUCGCACCACUGCACUCCAGCCUGGGUGACACAGCAAGACUCCGUCUCAAAAAAAAAAAAAAUAAAUAAAAAUAAAAAAUAAAAUAAAAUAAAAUAGUAAAUGAAGAAUAAGUGAUAGAAUGCAAAAUAUUAUCAUUUGGAAAGAAUCAUCAGUAGGCUAUUAUUACUACAAAAAUGAAACACAACCAGCAUGAUGGUUCCUUCUGAUGGACGUGCACCACCUGCACCUAUGAAGGAGUCUUGCCCCCCAAAAUAAAUCCUGCAUCUCAGCAAGCCACUAAAUCUAAUGACCAAUUUAUAGGAAACAGAGGAACAUGUUAAAUGAAACCAUAGGCAUACAAUUAGCAAUUGCACACUGUGAAGAACUCCACAGGGCAAACAACCCAGUUCCCUUAACAACAAUAAAAACAAAUGCCAGAAAAAAGAGAGAUGUUGGGGAUCCUAUGGAUUAAAAGAGAUUUAAGGGAUAUCAAACAGUCACAGAGUAUAGAUUUUAUUUUGAUCACUAUUCAAACAUACAAACUGAAAAAAAAGGUUUACCAAGGAAAUAUGACCAUUGUGUAGAGUAGACAUCCAAUGGUAUUAAGUAAGCAUUGUUAAUCUUCUAUGUGUGAAUCAGAGGUGUGAUGGUGCAUUAGUCCGUUCUUGCAGUGCUAUAAAGAACUACCUGUGACUGGGUAAUUCACCUAGAAAAAGAGGUUUAAUUGACUCACAGUUCUGCAGACUAUACAGAAAGCAUGGCUAGGGAGGCCUCUGGAAACUUACAAUCAUGGCGGAAGGGGAAGGAGGAUCAGGCACAUCUUACAUGGCUGGAGAAGGAGGAAGAGAGAGCAGUGGGAGGUGCUGCACAUUUUUAAACUACCAGAUUUCAUGAAGACUCACUCAUUAUCACAAGAACAGCAAGGGGGAAAUCCACCCCCAUGGUCCAAUCACCUCCCACCAGGCUCCUUUUCCAACACUGGGGAUUACAAUUUGACAUGAACUUUGGGCAGGGACGCAAAUCCAAACCAUAUCAGAUAGUAAAGAAUUAACAAUUUUAUUACUAGAAAUAAAAGCCCUGCUGUUAGUAUUUGUGGAUUUUCAUGGUGUAUACACUGCCUUUGUGGUUAAUUUCAAGCCACGUUCAUGAAGUCAUGGAUCCUUGAGUGGGAAGAGUGUCAUAUGCUGUUUCUCUUUGGCUGAACAGGUAUGAGCUGCUUUAACCUCUACCAGAUGUGAUAAUAGUGUUAUAGUGGUAUUAAAAAAAGGAAGAAAGAAAGAAAGAAUAGAAUGCCUAUCUUUUAGAGAUCCCUACUGAAAUACUUAUGGUUGAAAUGAUGUGAUGUUGGAAGAUUUCUUCAAAAUGAUUUGGGGUGAGGGUAGGGUAGAGAGUGUAAAUCAAACAGUAAUGACCAUGAAUCAGUAAUUUUGAGACCAAAUCAUAGGUACACUAGAGUAUAUUAUCAUUUUUCUCUACUUUGCUCAUAUUUAAAAUUUUGUAUGAUAAGAAAAGUUUUCCAAAGUAAUUUCUUUUACUGAAAAUUCCCAAGGUGCUCCCUAUCUGAGUAGAAGCCAAAGUUUUUUUUGUUUUGUUUUUUGUUUUUUUUUGAGACUGAGUCUUGCUCUGUUGCUCAGGCUGGAGUGCAGUGGCGUGAUCUCGGCUCACUGCAAGCUCUGCCUCCUGGGUUCAGGCCAUUCUCCUGCCUCAGCUUCCCGAGUAGCUCGGACUACAGGCACCUGCAACCGCUCCCGGCUAAUUUUUUGUAUUUUUAGUAGAGACGGGGUUUCACCGUGUUGGCCAGGAUGGUCUCCUGACCUCAUGAUCUGCCCGCCUCCGCCUCCCAAAGUGCUGGGAUUACAGGCGUGAGCCACCGCGCCCGGCCGAAGCCAAAGUUUUAAGAUGCCUGCAACUGAUCCUCCCCCUUCACUUUGCUCCACUCACCCUCCUGCUGUUGCUGCAAUGUGCUAGGCCUGCUCUCACCUCAGGGCCUCUGCACUGGCUGCUGUCUCUGCUCAGAAUACUUUCCCCCGGAUAAACCAUGAAUAUUACUUCCCCACUUUCUUCAAGUCUUUGCUCAGAUGUCAACUUCCUAAUAAGGGCCCCAUUUAAUGUCCCGUUCUGCCCAUAGCUCUGGCCCAGAACUCCGGAUCCAUAGUGCUUAUGAUUUUCUAACAUAUUUGACAUCUGUGAAUGUCAUAGCAUUUUUCUUCUUUACUUGAUACUUCUGAUAUAUCAUCUGCACUAAUUACUACAUUUCAAGUACAUUUUUGGAAGACUGAGCUGUUGGAAAUGCCUUUUAGAAUUGAUAAAGGCAGUGCACAUUGCUUUAGAUUCUAUUCAAAAGGUCAACAUAAGCUUGUUUCUACACUUAAGUGCAGAGGUAGAAAACUUUUAAGAGAUUGUACUAUCAUAAGUAUCUUAAAAUUGGUAAGUUUCAAGAGGAAAAACAAUUAUAGUUUGACCAGUUUACUUCCAAAAUAACUUUGCCAUUAUUUUAAUAAAUUCACAAUUUUUAAUGAAGAUGCUGGUUCUUUUGAAUUGUAGCACACUUGCAGAAUGUCUCUUACUCCAUUUCUCCAUUGCCCUUCAGCAAACACUUACACAACUUAACAUGCUGCUCUCUCUACCAGUUCAUCUUGACCUCCAUAACCCUUAACCAUCAUCCCUAAAUAUUCAGGGUUACGCGCUGUGAAAACUUCAAGCAAGAAUAAAUCUCCUUACUUUGUGGACUGUCAAGCAAACACUGAUGAUUCUGUGUGAACCCCUCAAUGUCAUGGUCUAAGCAGAGAAUUUGAUAACUCAUUUGAUGCCUUUUCAUAUAUGUAGUUAAAGUGCGUGGGUGUAAAUGCUGUAUUAAAUUAUCCAGUCAUUGCAUUACUUUGUAUUUCCACACAACUUUCUUUGCUCUAGCAUUUAUUUGCUAUGAGCUAUUUCAGUGACCCAGGAAUAGUAGCUCUGAUGGGUAGAAUGUGAAAACCAUGGCUGGUUCAUUGAUUAAAUCACAACUAACUCAUCAUUGAAGGGCUUGUUUUUAUUCUGUUGCACAAGAUUCAGUGGGACUUGGGCUUUGGCAUAGAUAUGGCUAAAAGGAAAGGCCUGGCAAAUAAGAAUAUGAAAAGAUGCUCAACAUAUACAUCACUAGGGACUUACAAAUCAAAGUAACAAUGAAAUACCAUUAACACCUAUUAGAAUGGCCAAACUCCAAAACACUGACAGCACUGAAUGUUGGCAAGAAUGUAGAGCAACAGUAACUCUCAUUCAUUGUUGGUGGACAUGCAAAAUGGUACAGCCACUUGGGAAGAAAAUUUGGCAGUUUCUUACAAAAGUAAACAUACUCUUACCGUACAGUCAAGACAUUACAAUCGUUGGUAUAACCCAAAUGAGUUGGAAACAUGUCCAUACAAAAACCUGUGCAGAAAUGUUUAUAGCAGCUUUGUUCAUAAUUGCUAAAAUGUCUUUUAGUGGGUGAAUAGAUAAACUAUGGUACCUCCAGACAAUGGUAUAUUAUUCAAUGCUAAAAUGAAAGGAGCUAUCAAGCUAUGGAAAGACAUGGAAGAACCUUAAAUGCAUGCUAAGUGAAAGAAGCCUAUCUUAAAAGGCUACAUACUAUAUGAUUCCAACUGCUUGACAUUCUGAAAAAGGCAAAACUAUGGAGAUAGUAAAAAGAUUAGUGGUUGCCAAGGCUUAAGGAGGGUGGGAGGGAUAAAUAGAUGGAACACAGGAUUUUUGAUACCCUAAUGGUGGAUAUAUGUCAUUAUAAAUUUGUCCAAACCCAUAGAAUAUACAACACCAAGAGUGAACCCUAAUGUAAACUGUGAACUUCAGGUGAUUAUGAUGUAGCCAUGUAGGUUUGUUGAUUGUAAUAAAUAUACCACUUAGAUGCAGGGUGUUGACAAUGGGGUAGGUUGGGGAUAGGGGACAAGGAUUAUAUGAAAACUGUACUUUCCACUUAAUUUUGCUGUGAAUCUAAAACUGCCCCCAAAAAUUGUCUUUUUUUUUUUUUGAGAUAUGGUCUUGCUCUAUCACCCAGGUUGGAGUGCAGUGGCGCAAUCACGGCUCACUGCAACUUUGAAAACCUGGGUUCAGGCAAUCUUCCCACCCCAGCCUCCUGAGUGGCUGGUACUACAAGUGUGUACCACCACUCCUGGCUAAUUUUUACUUUUUUUUUUUUUUUUUUUUGUAGAAACGAGGUAUCUGUAUGUUACCUAGGCUGGUCUCAAACUCCUGGACUCAAGCAGUCUUCCCACCAUGACCACCCAAAGGAUUACAGGCAUGAGCAACUGGGCCCAGCCUUUUUUUUUUUUUUUAAAGGCCUAAUAAAACUGGGAAGAGUGUACCUAAAUGAUGCUUUAACGUGACAAUUAAGGACUGAAAUGAAGGACUCCUCUAUCAUGCUCAUAUGUAAUCGUACCAGGUUGUUAUCUAUUGAUUUGCAAUUAGAAGCAUAAAUAGAUUUCAAAAAUGAAAAUUAACUCUAUAUUUUGAAAUUUACAGUGGAUUAGAUUUCAUAGUCUUUUCUGUUUCUUGCAAAAGAUGCUAGAUAUGUAGUGAUACUCAUUUCAAAUCAUUUCCGAAAUAUUCUAGUUGCCAUAGCAGCCAAAGCUGAUGAUGAAAUUUCUAUACAAAGCUCUCAGAAAUGAGAUUUGCUAAGAAAGUCUUUUGAAUUGUUCAAGAUAGUUGGCUUUUUCUUAUCUCACCUUCAAAACAUUUUUUUACUUUUAAGUUCUCUAUAUUUAUUCUAGCACUAAAACUGUAGUAUUUUUAGAGCUAAGAAAAUGUAUGAACCAUCUAGGAGGCACACAAGAUAUGGUCAGUGUAUGAUAACAGGAGGGAAUAAUGGAAACACGGAUCUUCCUGGACAUUGUGAGGACUAUUAGCAAGCCUAGAAAUGUCAGAGUGAGAAAGGGAAACUUGAAAGUUUUCAGAAUUGUACUGGCUCAGAUUCGUUAGCCCUGUGUCUGCUUAAAUAUGUAUUAUUUCUUUGUGAUUGAUUCUAUAUUUAAGCUUGUACACAGUAGCGUUGAAAUUAAAGUGGGUGAGCAGAGUUCCUCAUGUCUACAGAGAUUACUUUGCCAGCUCUGGGCUUCCCUGAAGAUGCAGUUUUGCAGCCUCUUGUUCUUUAGAUGCUAAAUUAUGUGACGGCGCAUGUGUUUCCAGACAUAGCAGACGCAGCUCAGUUGACCUUGUUACGUUUGUUUUUGUAUAUUUUUUUCUCUAGAAGCUUAUCUUGAUAUAGUCAAAAUACUGUGAAAAAAAAGUAAAAACAUUGGACACUGACCUUUGUCCAGGAGAUGAUGGAAGAGCGUUGACUUUACUGAUAUUGCCACUGCCAAUUAGUGGCCAGCAUGGAUCUCCUGUGACUUGUGCUGCUCAAGUGUUUACUUAAUGCUUGACAUAUAGAGAAAGAAUAAGACUUAUUUGGGGAGGAUUCAUUGUGAGAUGCUUCUCUGGUCUACUCUGUAGGCUCCAGAAUUUUCUCUAAAGUUGUAUCUUGGUUUGCAUUUAGACUAAGCAUCUCUAUAAUCAUACCCGAGGGUACAGAUAAUUUUUUGAGUUCAAUGAAGCAACGGUAGAAGGUGCUGUCAGAGAAUGUAGUGUCAGAAGACGUGAUUUAGUUGAAAAGAUAAAGUAGGGAAGGGCUCCCUGAAGUGGUCAUGUGUAAGCAGGGACCUGAAGAACUAGUAGAUGUCAGUCAGGAAAACUCCAAUUUGGAUUAAGGCACUUUAUUUCCGUCUUUCGGACAUAGUACAAGCUCCAGCAAAGUCUUCACACAGAUUACUACUUUGGCUUGGAGUACUGGUCUCCUCCUAGCUUCCAAUUAAUUCUUUCUGCAAUUAGUUAAUAUCUGUCUUCCCUGGUAACCCUCAAUCAAGGGAUUCAUUUUUUAAAAAACCAUCCUGGGUUUUAGUAGUUGGGCGUUAUUUGUGAUUCUUCUUUUGUAUCUCACUGGUCACUGUCCAGCUAACUUUUUCUUUGAGGGGAGCAAUUUAAGGUUCUUGUAGCAGAUUUAAUGGGAAAUGAAUGAGACUUGGCUUGAAGAUCUUCCUGUGCCACUUGAAUUCCCUUUAAUAAAUGAUUUUGGUGGUUUUCUCACUGACUUUUAAAAAAAGUAUUAAUAUAUUGAUUUGCCAAUUUUAGUGACACACACCUGUGUUCUGGUAUUUAGUUUCGAUCUAGUGGUGAUUAAACUUUGCAACAUACUAGAGGAUGCCCAGGUCAUUCAAUGCCUUCAGACUGAAGCCAGUGUGUGGACAUGCUGCCAUUUUGAGGCAGGUUGUUUGAUUUUACUUUCUUUGCUACGUUUCUUUAGAAAAGGAUUGAAUACUUAGCUCUCAAGAUUAGGGUUUUUAAAAAUACUGUAACUCCUUAAAUCAGCCAGUUAUUGAAGACUGGAUUGAUGGGAGACUUGAGGGUUUAUAAACUCAAGAGCUACCUAUGGUUCAGCACUGAAAUUGUUUUCGUGUAGAUCUCAUGGCAACCCCAAGCUUCAUUAUGUCAUUCUUCCGAGCAUUGGCCAAUUACACUGUCGAGUUUUUACCUGAUGCUGAUCCCCUGGUGACAUGGCCUGUCUUAUUUGCUUAAUAAAUUUCUAAAUUUCUGAAAUGAAAUUUGUAGGAUCACAGAGCUUAUUAUGGAUUUUCCCCUCCCCAUCCCCUUACAGUAAUGCUGAAGAAUCAAAGCUGCAUCCAAUCUGGAUAUAAAGAAAGCCAAUUAGUUAUAUUCCUAUAUCUCAUUACAGCAAUUCACAUCUUCUCCCCACAUAAGUGGGACACUCAUCAUAUCUUCUUCAUAUUCAAUCUACUCACCUUCACCUGAUUCUGUAAUGGUGCUGCUAUCCUUCUGAGGAUUCAUGCUUAUAAUGUAUAUUUUCUUUCCAUCCAUUCUUCCAUAAAUUCAUUCCACAAGCAUCCAUUGAGCUCAUUCUAUGGGCCAGACCCUGAUUUAAGUUCUGGGGAUACAGCAGUCCAUUACAUGCACAAAAAUCACUAUCUCUAUGGAGUUCACAUUGGAAAGGCAUGAGGCAAUGGAUGAGACAAAUAAGUAAAAUAUACUUAGGGGCCAACGGGGACAUGAACAAGACCCAGCAGGUUUGUCUUUACAGGAAUAUUUUAGGUGUGAAAAGCUUCCUCUUUAAUAUUAAGAAAGAGUCAGUUUGAUAAAGGAGCUGCUAAAAUUGUGACUUAAAAAAAAACCCAGCUAAUUAAAACAAAUUCAAUUGGACUUGAUAACUAUUUAUUUUUAAUUCAGGAAGCUAGGAAUGAAUUUGUGUCUCCUGCCUGCUACCUUACCGCGUGACAGAUUUCAUCAUUCCAGUAAUUAUAGAAAAUAUCUCAAAUCAGACAGUGCUUGCAGGCACCUGCAGCCAGACUGAGUCCCACACAGCAGUGUCUGAAAGAACAACUUCAUUUCCAUGCAGGCCACAGACUAGAAUGUAGUUAGUGCUGGGCAGAGUUAAAGUACAACAGUUGCUCUGUUGGUUGCUGUGGUGAUGGCCUCAAACUCUUAGCACUCAAGAGAUGAACGUCUUCCGUCCAUCUGGACAAAGGAGGAAUGACUUGACGCUUAGGGUAUUGGACUCCAGAUGUGUUUUUAAAAUGGUAGUUCCCACAGGAAAGUGUCUAUUGCAGUGACAUUGGACAUGUUGAUUUUAUUUCUUAUUUUUUACUUAAAAUUUUUUUAUGUUACCUGAGCGCCUAAUCACUAUUUCCAGUAGCCACUUGUCAGUGUGCAGCCUCCUUGAACUUUGCACAACAUUUCACAUCGAGGGUGACUCUCUUGUUGGUGUUUGGUUCCUACUCUGCAGUGUUGAAAUAUGCACUCCUCUUUCUGUUUGCUGCUUCUGGCUGUGUCAGCGGCUACUUCUCUUCUGUAGUGUGAUCCUCCGGUAUCUUCUCCUAUCUUCUCUUUCUGUCUUAUGUGCAUCCCUUCUUCCCCUUCUUCCUCCUCCUCCCUCUCCUGCUCUUCCUCUCCUGGUCUCCUCCUUUAGUAUCUGACCAUCUCUCCUGUCUAUACAGAUAAUUCCCAAAGCCAUACCACCAGCCCAGGCUUCUCUCUUAAGCUGCAACUUCUCAGAUUCUUCUCAAGAUACUCUGUGGACACAUUAAGCUCAGCAUGUUCAAAAUAAGCUGCACAUAUUCUUCCUCCAACUUUUGUGACUAAUAUUGAUCUCUGAUUCAUCACCCAGAAUCUAGCCUUAAAGGCCUUCUUCAGUCCUGUCCUCUCCCAGGUGGUUUAUACCCAACCAUUGGCUGAGUCUUGUACUCAACACUCACAUCUACCAUGUCCUCUCUUGUGUCACUGAGACCACAUAGUCAGGCUGACACUGCUUGACACUUGGACUAUCACGAUAGCCACUCACCCCUCAUCCAUUUCAUUUUAGAUGCUAUUUACCGGAGCAAUCUCUAGAAAGACGGCUCCAACAGCAGCCCUUUCUGGUUCAAAAUAUGUGCUACAGACAGAAGAGAAUCUCUGCCCCUAAACAUGGCAUUCAAGGCCCUUUCUUUGCUCUCACACAUCCCGGUUCUCCAACGCUGUUAGGACGUGGCCUGCGUUUUCUUACCAACUCGUCUUUUGGGACAGUUCCCCUUUGCUUUGAAGGCUCUUACCCUCAGCUUCAUUAUUAAUAUCUGUAUAUUUGUAACAUAUCUUUUUUUUUUUUUUUUUUUUUUUGAGACAGAGUCUUGCUCUGUCACCCAGGCUGGAGUGCAGAGGCCCGAUCUCGGCUCACUGCAACCUCCAUCUCCCAGGUUCAAGCGAUUCUCCUGCCUCAGCCUCCCAAGUAGCUGGGAUUUCAGGCAUGCACCACCACGCCUGGCUAAUUUUUGUAUUUUUUUUUAGUAGAGACGGGGUUUCACCAUGUUCAUCAGGCUGUUCUUGAACUCCUGACCUUGUGAUCCGCCUGCCUCGGCCUCCCAAAGUGCUGGGAUUACAAGCGUGAGCCACCACGCCCAGCCGUAAACAUAUCUAUUUUUAAUAAAACAUUACAAGUUUUAAAUUAUGAAAGUAACUUCACAGAAAGUUUGGAAGAAAACAGAAAAAUAGUAGGAAGUAACUAAAAUUCUUACAUAAUCACAUCACUCAGAUAGAGGAACUAUUAUUUCACCUCCGUUUAUUUUCACUGAUUUAUAGUCAUACAUUGCUGAAAACCAGACUGUGUUCUGAGAAGUGCACCUAUAGGCGAUUGCUCUUCUCUCCCCACUAUUUGUUUCUUUAGUUGACUAACACCAUAGCAUGUACUUACACAAACCUAGAUGGCAUAGCUUCCUGCGCACUUGGACUAUAUGGUGUAGCCUGCUCCUAGCUACAAAUCUGGAAGCAUAUUGCUCUCUUGAAUGCACCAUGGUAAGUAUUUGUGUAUCCAAACAUAGAGCACGUACAGUAAAAAUAUGGUAUAGAAGAGGAAAAUAAUGAUACACCCAUAUAGGGCACUUGCCAUGAAUGGAGCUUGCAGGCCUGGGAGUUGCUCUGGGUGAGUCAGUGAGUGAGUAGUGAGUGAAUGUGAAGGUCUAGGACAUUACUGUACCCUAGGGUAGACUUUAUAAACCCUUGCACUUAGGCGAUACUAAAUUUAUUUUUAAAAUUUCCUUUUCUUCAAUAAUAAAUUAACCUUAGCUUACUGUAGCUUUUGACUUUUACAUUUUUAAAAUUAUUUUAUUUUAUGUUUUAUUUUACUUUAAGUUCUGGGAUACAUGUGCAGAACGUGCAGGUUUGUUACAUAGGUAUACAUGUGCCAUGGUGGUUUGCUGCACCUGUCAACCCAUUGUCUAGGUAUGGCCCCACAUGCAUUAGGUAUUGUGUUAGUUUGCUGAGAAUGAUGGCUUCCGGCUUCAUCCAUGUCCCAGCAAAGGACAUGAACUCAUUCUUUUUUAUGUCUGCAUAGUAUUCUAUGGGGUGUAUGUGCCACAUUUUCUUUAUCCAGUCUAUCACUGAUGGGUAUUUGGGUUGCUUCCAAGUCUUUGCUAUUGUGGAUAGUGCUGCAAUAAACAUACAUGUGCAUGUGUCUUUAUGGUAGAAUGAUUUAUAAUCCUUUAGGUAUAUAUCCAGCAAUGGGAUUGCUGGGUCAAAUGGUAGUUCUGGUUCUGGAUCCUUGAGGAAUCACCACACUGUCUUCCACAAUGGUUGAACUAAUUUACACUCCCACCAACACUGUAAACGCGUUCCUGUUUCUCCACAGCCUCGCCAGCAUCUGUUGUUUCCAGACUUUUUAAUGAUCACCAUUCUAACUGGCAUGAGAUGGUAUCUCAUUGUGGUUUUGAUGUGCAUUUCUCUAAUGACCAGUGAUGAUGAGCAUUUUUAAAUUUCUUAACUUUUUGACUCUUCUUUACAAAAAUAUUUUCUUUUUUAUAUUCUUAUUCUAUAAGCCUUUUUGUGCUUUAAUUUUUUUUACUUUAAAAACUUUUUUAAUUAAAAACGAAGACACAAAUGCAGCCUUAGCCUCAGCCUACACAGGGUCCGGAUCAUCCAUAUCACUGUUUCCACCUCCACAUCGUGUCCCACUGGAAGGUCUUCAGAGGCAGUAAUAUGCAUGGAGCUGUCAUCUCCUAUGACAACAAUGCCUUCUGGAAUACCUUCUGAGGAACUUCCUGAAGCUGUUUUAUAAUUAACAUAUUAUAUACUUCUACUUACGUAAGUAAAAAUACACUCUAAAUAAUGAUAAAAAAUAUAGUAUAGUAAAUACAUAAACCAGUAACAUAGUCAUUAUCAUUAUUAAGUGUUAUGUACUGUACGUAAUUGUGUGUGCUACACUUUUUUCAACCAGCAGCUUAGUGUGUUUGUUUACAACAAUGAGUAAUACAUCGUGCUACAACAUUAUGACAGCUACAAUGUCGCUAGGCAAUAGGAAAUUUUCAGCUCCAUUAUAAUCUCAUGAAACCAUUGUCAUAUCUGCAGUCCAUCACUGACUGAAAUGUUGUUAGGCAAUUGAUGACUUUAUACGCACCACAUGUGCAAAGUUUUGUAAAGUUGAUAUAUACAGGUUUUGCACCCAGCUCUUUUCACUUCGUAUUACAUUCUACGAAUCUUCUGAUGCGUUUAAUGGUAUUUGAGAACAUGAGUGAACAUCUGCAAAAUAUAUGAAUGCAUUGUAAUUUAUUUAAACUCUUCUGAUUUGUGUUGUAAAUAAUUUUAAAGAGCUAUACUUUUCCUCUAAAUUUUCGGGAUGAUUGUUUCUGUGCUAUCUUUUUAAGACUCAUGGUUUCCUUCUUCCCUCCCUUUCUCCCUUCUCUUUAUUUCCGCGGGGAAGAGGAAUGUUCGUGACAGAUUAGGCUGCUUGGGCAUAGUAGAGUAAAUGACUUGUGCACAGAUCUACCCACUGUUAACCUGAGAGCCCACAGUGUCUUCCCAGGAGGUGGUGCUGUGAACAGCCUAAGCUCUGUGUUCUGUACUCUUCUGUUGGAUUCGUGGGAUCCUCUUUUAUCCCAACUAUUUGUCUCUCUGGUUGACUAAAUGACUAAGUACUUGAAAACCAAAAUUCCCAAUCUCCACUGCUACCAGGGCUCUUCUCCAAAGGCCACUACACUACACAAACUGCCCUGUUUCUUGUUGAGAUUGUGUCCCUUUCCGGGGAGUAGUUUAUUUCCUAAGCGAUCCCCUUUGUGUCCUCUCUUUUUAUUUUACACUAAGCUGCUAGUUGAAUAAAAGUGUAGCACAGAAAAUUACAUACAGUACCUAAUACUUAAUAAUGAUAAUGACUAUGUUACCGGUUUAUGUAUUUACUAUACUAUUCUUUUUAUCAUUAUUUAGAGUGUAUUUUUACUUAUGUAAAUAGAAGUAUAUAAUAAGUUAGUUAUAAAACAGUGUCAGGAAGGUCCUUCAGGAGGUAUUCCAGAAGAAGGUAUUGUUGUCAUAGGAGAUGACAGCUCCAUGCAUAUUACUGCCUCUGAAGACGUUCCAGUGGGACAAGAUGUGGAGGUGGAAACAGUGAUAUGGAUGAUCCGGACCCUGUGUAGGCUGAGGCUAAGGCUGCAUUUGUGUCUUAGUUUUUAAGGGAAUUAGUCUCUGUAGAAGGAAUAAUAUGGAUUAAAGAGGCCGUGACACAGUUUCUGGCUUGUUUGGUGACUGUACUACAGAUAGAAAGCCCCUAGUGCUUUGGUUAAAAUGUUGGGAAUUCUGGCUGGGCGUGGUGGCUCAUGCCUGUAAUCCCAGCACUUUGGGAGGCCGAGGCGGGCGGAUCACCUGAGGUCAGGAGUUCGAGACCAGCCUGCCCAACGUGGCGAAACCCUGUCUCUACAAAAAAUACAAAAAGCCAGGCAUGGUGGCGGGCACCUGUAGUCCCAGCUACUCGGUAGGCUGAGGCAGGAGAAUCGCUUGAACCUGGGACAUGGAGGUUUCAGUGAGCUGAGAUCAUGCCACUGCACUCCAGCCUGGGUAACAAGAGCAAAACUCCAUCUCAAAAAAAGAAAAAAAAAAAAAAGUUGGAAAUUCUCUGAGCCAGAAAGGGAAAGAUAAGGCUUGCCCCUACCUUCCCUUGCCCUUACCUUCCCUUGCCCCGUUUUAUAUUAAUAGUAUAUUUGGACAGUAUACUGUUUUCCAUCCUAGUUGUCAUCCUCAGUGUAGCUCUAAAAGUUGGUGACCAGUGAAAAUUCCUCUAAGGAUUUUUAAACCAGAGUAUCAUCUGCCUGAACUUCUGUCUUCUCCUGUGUUUACAUGUGUAUUGCAACUGUGAGUCUUACCUGGGAAAUAAAAACCACACAUUGACAAGGUCCCUACCAAUUCUGUGAGAACCAUUUAAAAUGGUCUUUUCAUGAAGCUGAUCCUGAUGUCCUCAGGGAACUUGGCACAUGGUCUUCCUCCUUUGUGUUCUUGUAUCACCUGGAUUCAUUCUGCUCUCAAAAUGUAUAUCCUGCCUGGCUUAGUCUUUGUUUAUUUUAUCCUCUUUACCAGUCUAAGUUCCUUAACGACAGAAAAGUGUCUUGUUUCUCUUAUCAUUUGCCCAGUAGAAAUUCUUUAAAUCAAGAAAAGAGGUGGGGCACGUGGAAACAAAAUGUGAGUGUUCACCCUGCAGUAGGCUGUGUGCCUGACACUUUACUGGUGCCAUUUUAUGCUGCCAUUGUAUCAUGGUUAAUUGCAUACAUACAUACAAAUCUUGGAAGUUGUAAUGCCGUAUUAAAAAGUAGAGUUCGUAUUUACAGGUGUUUGUAAAUGACAAGUUUGAAAUCUGUCUCGCCAUUUCAUGAGAUGUUUACUGUCAACUCUGUUGACAGUUGAGAAAAUUGAGAUUUGGAGAGUUUAUGUAAUUUGUCCAAAAUUACAUAGCUACAGAGUGACAAAACUGAUAUCGAAACCCAUGCCAAACCAAUUUUAAAGUCUUUUAGCUAUACUUCCACCUGAUCUCCCUGCUUUGUUAAUUUAUGCUAGAGUGUUCAGUUAACGUGCAAUUGAGAUGAUCGUUUAUUAUUCUAGGCAAGUUCAUUCUCUUAUUUAAUCAAGAAGCAACCUAACUUGAAAUGAGAACAGGACACAAUUUCCUUUCUACUUAGCAUAAAGAAAAAUGAAACGAAUGAUUUUUAUUUUGUACUCUGAGAUAGUGGGAUGAUGGGAGAGAUAUAUGGAUCACAUAUAACCAUGCUAAGUUUCUAAGUCAUUGCUGUAUUUUGGUAAGCUUUUGUCAGAAAAGUUAUUCAUAUAUUUUAAAAAUUCAAUCUGUCAGCUAGUAGACUAUGUCUGAAGGAAAUGUGCACGUGUUCUUUGGAAUGUCUCUUAAUUUCCAAAUCAUCUGAAUCACACAUUUUGGCAUCAGCUGCUGCUGUUUUUCCUCCUGAUCAUCUUGCCUAUAGCAGUUCUGGGUGAGACACUAUUACAUAUGUACUCCCUAAAUUACAAACUUCUCAUUUACAAACACCUGUACAUACAAACCCUACUUUCUAACAUGACAUUUGAAUUUAAAGAGAGAUUUGCAUGCACGUAUACCACUAACCAGAAUAUAAAAAUACUGAGAUAGAAAGUGUAGUAUUGCUUUAGCCUUUGCCUCAAUUCUGAUGAUCUCUGUCUUAGAGCGAUAAGAAAGUUUGCAACAGAAGAUUCACUCUAAGCUAGAAUGAGUGAUGGAACCAAGACUUUCCUCUUCCCACAUGGGGGCACUAGGUGAUGCUGUGGACCACGUGCUUCUGCUUGCCCUCAUCUCCAUUUUUCCUCUUCUCACUCAGGUAGCAGCAGGCAGUCAUGCUCUCCCUCCAUCUUCUCUCGUACCACUUCCCACCUCUCUGCAAGCACCAAUUGUUUGAGAGUCUGUGAGGAGACCUCUCAUGUGCCCAAGAGAUUGAGAUUUGGAGUAGAAGAAACCAACAACCCAGCAAUGCCAAUGGGCACAGACAAGACAAGUCCCCAACAAAAGCCUCGUCUCUCUAGUCAAAGCCCUGGAAAAAGGGCAGCAUAGAAAGACAGAAACUUGGCCGGGCACGGUGGCUUAUGCCUGUAAUCCCAGCACUUUUGGGAGGCCGAGGCUGGUGGAUCACGAGGUCAGGAGAUUGAGACCAUCCUGGCAAACACAGUGAAACCCCAUCUCUACUAAAAAUGCAAAAAAUUAGCUGGGCAUGGUGGCGGGCACCUGUAGUCUCAGCUACUUGGGAGGCUGAGGCAGGAGAAUGGUGUGAACCCAGGAGGUGGAGCUUGCAGUGAGCCGAGAUCGUGCCACUGCCCUCCAGCCUGGGCGACAGAGGGAGACUCCGUCUCAAAAACAAAAACAAAACAAAACAAAAAAAACAAAGACAGAAACUUUUGGAUAAUAACCACUUUACUCCUGCCAAACACCACAGAAAAAUCUGUAGCAUCACUCCCACCCAUAUUAGCAAAGGCUGAGUGGGGAGGCUAGACUUCUACCUUCGCAAGCUAUAAUGGUGUUCCCCAGCACUCUCACUAGGGUGAUGUCAGAGAGGCCAAGUAGGGAGCUGGGACUUUUGUUCCUGUCACUGGCAUUGAGACUCCCUUCACUUUCCACCACAAUGUCAGUAGAGACCAUGUGGAUAGCUGGACUUGAACCUCCACCUGACAGUAGCAAGGUGCCCCAUUCUCUCCCUGCUGGGGUGCUGUCAGAGAAAAGUCAGGACUUUCACCAUUGUUCCUGGGGUGUUACUUAGUGGAGAGUCAGGACUUUAUUGCCCAGGUUAAGGAGGACAUCACCACUCUGGUAUCAUUGGACACCCGGUAGGGAACCAGAACAACCACCCCUGCCAAACACUCGCCCCACCCCUAGGUGUCAUUGGAGGCCAUGUUGCAAAAGUAGACUUCUACCUCCAACUGGUAGUCAUGGGGUGGUUCCUCUUCUCUUCCCUGCCAAAGAAGUAUUAGAAAAGCCAACUAAUACAUAAGGUUUAAAUAAGUUUCAAAGUUUCAUAACAUAUGACCAGAAAAAGUCUGGGUUUCAACUGAAAAUCACUUAUAUGGAGGACAAGAAAGAUCUCAAAAAGAAUGAGAAAAGACCAUCAAUAGAUGCCAACACCAAGAUAACAAAGAUGCUAAAAUUAUCUGACAAAGAUUUUAUUUAUUUAUUUUAUUUAUUUAUUUAUUUUAUUUUUAUUUUUUAUUUUUUUUAUUAUACUUUAGGUUUUAGGGUACAUGUGCACAAUGUGCAGGUUUGUUACAUAUGUAUCCAUGUGCCAUGUUGUUUUGCUGCACCCAUUAACUCGUCAUUUAGCAUUAGGUAUAUCUCCUAAUGCUGUCCCUCCCCCCUCCCCUCACCCCACAACAGUCCCCGGAGUGUGAUGUUCCCCUUCCUGUGUCCAUGAGUUCUCAUUCUUCAGUUCCCACCUAUGAGUGAGAACAUGCAGUGUUUGGUUUUUCUGACAAAGAUUUUAAAGCAGCCAUGAUAAAAAUGAUUCAAUAAGCAAUGCAAACACACUUGAAACAAAUGAGAAAAUAGAAAGCCUCUGUAAAUAAAUACAAAGUCUUAUCAAAGAAACAUAAGGUACAAAAAAGAACCAAAUGUAAGUCUAGGAACUAAAAAAUACAAUAACCAAAGAAAAGCUCAGUGGAUUGGCUCAUCAGUGGAAUUAAGAAGGCACAGGAAAGAAUCGGUGAACUGGAAGAACAAUAGAAGUUACCCAAUCUGAAAAAUAGGAAAUAGACUAAAAUUAAAUAAGUAGACUCAGGGAUCUGUGGGACUACAAUUAAAGAUCUAACAUUUAUGUCAUUAGAGUCCUGUAAGGAGGAAAAUAAAGAGGUUGGAUAGAAAAACGCUCAAAGAAAUGAUGACUGAAAAAUUCAAGAAUUUGGCAAAAGACUUAAACCUACAGAUUCAAGUAGCUGAGUGAACUUCACACAGAAGAAACCCAAAGAAAUUGAUGUCAACCACACCAUAAUUAAACUUAUGAAUAUUAAAGAAAAAAUCUUAAAAUUUUUCAUUAAAAAGUGACAUCUUACCUACUGGGGGAAAAAUUAGAUUUUUCAUCAGAAACACUGGAAGCCAGAAGGAAAUGACACAUUUUUUAAGUGCUAAAAGAAAAGAAUUGACAACUCUGAACACUAUAUCCAGCAAAAAUAUUAUUCAGGAAUGAAAGAGGAAUGAAGACAUUCUCAAAUGGAGGAAAACUAAUAGAAUAUACUGCCAGCAGACCUGCUGUAAGAGAGUGGCUGAAUGAAAUUCUCUAAACAGAAAGGAAGUGAUGGAAGACAGAACCUUGGAACAUGAAAAAGGAGCAAAGACUAUAGUAAGUGAAAGGAUUGUUAAAUACAAUAACCUUUUCUUCUCCUCUUGAGUUUUCUACAUGUUUGACAGUUGAAGCAAAAACUACAGCACUGUCUGAUGUGGCUCUAAGUGUAUAUAAAGGACAUAUUUAAGACAGCUUUUUAUAACAAGGACAGGAUAAAAGGACAUGAAGGGAGGUAAGAUUUCUGUACUUCACUCAAACAAGUAAAUUGAUGAUACUAGUAGAUUGUCAUAAAUUAUGUAUAUAUAAUGUAAAAACUAAAGCAACAGUAUUAUAUAAGGAACUGACUUCAAAUAUAAUGAUAAGCAGAUGGGAGGUGAAGGAUGGAAAAUGAAAUUUUAUACACAUAUUAGUUAAAGGAAACAAAGGAGUUAUUUAGAAAGCUAAAGAGGAAAAAGCUCAUGAUCCUAUCAAUCUAUACAAAAGAAGCAUGUGACAAAAUUUAACACCCAUUUAUGAUAAAAAACUCUCAAGAAACUAGGAAUAGAAGUGAACUUCUUCAAAUUAGUAAAGAACAUUUACAGAAACCCUACAGCUAGCAUUAUUAUUAAUGGUGAAAGACUGAAUGCUUUCCCCCUAAUGUUGGGAACAAGGCAACUAUGUCUAUCCUUACCACUUUUAUUCAACAGAGUGCUUGAGGUUUUAGCCAGUGCAAUAAGGUAAGAAAAAGAAAGGACAUUUAGAUCAGAAAGGAAGAGAUCCUUAUUUGCAGAUGACGUGAUUGUCUAUGUAGAAAAUUCCAAGAAAUAUACAGAAAAACUCUUAGAACUAAUGAAUGAGUCCAGCAAGGUCACAGAACACAAGAUACACAUCCAAAAAUCAAUUUUAUUUCUAUAUUAUAGUAAUGAAUGUUGAGGACACCAAAAUUAAAGAUACAUACCACUUACAAUUGUCUUUUUUAGCAACAUGAAUGCAGCUGGAGGCCAUUAUCCUAAGCAAAUUAAUACAGGAACAGAAAACGAAAUACUGCAUAUUCUCCCUUAUAAGUGGGAGCUAAACAUCGUGUAUACAUGGGCAUAAAGAUGGGGACGAUAGACACUGGGCACUGGGGACUUCUAGGGGAGGAGGAUGGGAGAGAGAGAAAGAUUGAAAACCUACUUAUAGGGCACUGUGCUCACUACUCGGGUGAUAGGAUCAUUUGUACACCAAACCUCAGCACACAUAAUUUAUCGAUGUAACAAACCUGCACAUGUACUCCUUGAGGGAAAACAAAAGAAAAUAUGAGUAUAGAUAUUGACUCUCACAAAACUUAACUACUAAUAGACCAGAAGUUUUACUGAUAACAUAAGUAGUUGAAUGUUUAACUAAAUAUAUGAAUAUUUAACUAAAUAUAUAAAUAUAUGGAGAGACAUGCCAUGUUCGUGGAUUGGUUGAGAGCAUGGUAACGAUGUCAGUUCUCGCCAAGCUGACACGUAAGUUGAAUGCAAUUCAUAACAUAAAUAGUUGAUUAAAGCAUAUUUUGUAUAUAUAAUACAUAUUAUAUUCUUAAAGUGAGCUAGAGAAAAGGAAAUGUUACUAAGAAAAUCUUAAGAAAAAGUACAUUUACAGUGCCGUGCUGUAUAUAUCAAUGCCCUAAGUGUAUGUUGUCUGUUUACAAGAUGAAUUGUCUGUUUGAAAUGGUUGGCAAUUGCAGCUGCAGGCGUCAAUCUAUGGUACAUAUCAAGCAACUCACAUGACUUUUCUCUGCUUCUUGGGAGCACUUCUGGCGUCACUAGUGAUAUUUCAUGUGGGUCCCAUGGUGUUAUUCAGGGUUUACAGUUUGCACUAAACAUGAUGAAAAAUACACAAGAACCAGAAACUAUCACUUUUUGCUGUGAUAGGCAAUUUACUGGAGAGACGAACUGCCUGGGUGGGGAUAAAUAGCGUUUUAAGUGGAUACUCACAACACUUGAGCUCACCACAAUAGCAACAGAAGGUGGCUACAAAAUUAUCACAGCGGUACAGUAUGGAGUACAGUUAAUUUUAUGCAAUUAUAAUUUAAUACUGCAUCUUUAAGUUUGUUUACAUUUCUUUUGACUGAAAAUGGUGCCACGUACCAUCUGUAAGUGUUUGUGUGGGCAAAUUUUGAUAAGUUUCAACUUUUUUAAUAUACUUGUGUAUAUUUUAUGGUAGUAAGUGAUAAAAUAGACUAGUAUCUACAUAUAUUUUAUGCAUUUAUGACAUACCUAACUUUUUCUUAAUUUUUUUUUAUAUUUCUAGACUAUGUGGUUCAUCUGUGAGCUUUCAAAUUGUCACAAAUCUCUAACAAACUUUGUAGUAUAUUUAUUGAAAAAAUCUGCAUAUAAAUGGACCUGAAUAGUUAAAAACCUUGUGUUUCAAGAGUCAGCUGUAGUUUGGCAGUUUCUUACAAAAGUAAACUUGCAACUAUCAUUUUGUCCUCCUAGCAUUUGCACUCCUAGGCAUUUAGCCCAGAGAACUGAAGACAUAUAUCCACAAAAAAUCUUGCACACAUGCCAGGUGCAGUGGCUCAUGCCUGUAAUCCCUCCCAGCACUUUGGGAAGCUGAGGCAGGAAGAUUCCUUGAGCCCAGGAGUUCCAGACUAGCCUGGGCAGCACAGUGAAAUCCUGUCUCUAUCAAACGAACAAACAAAAAUAGCCGAGCAUGGUGAUGUACACCUGUAGUCCCGGCUACUCAGGAGGCUGAGGCAGGAGGAUUGCUUUAGCAUGGGAGGUCCAGGCUGCAGUGAGCUGUGAUCGCACCACUGCGCUGCAGUCUAGGUGACAGAGCAAGACCCUGUCUCAAAAAACAAAAAACAAAAACUUGUACCCAAAUGUCUGGCAGCUUUACUGGCAGUAGUUCUGUGUUCAUUUGCUAGAACUAGUUAAACAAAGUACAGCAGACUGGGUGGCUUAAUUAACAGAAAUGUAUUGCCUCAUAGUUUUGGAGACGAGAAACCUGAGAUUGAGGUAUCAGCAGGCCACGAGGAAGAAUGUGUUCCAUUCCCCUCUUCUGGCCUUCGGAGGGAUCCAGCAAUCAUGGCAUUCCUUGGCUUGUAGGUGCAUCACCGUGAUCUCUGCCUUCAUUUUCAUAUGGCAUUUUCCCUGGGUGCCCACCUGUGUCCAAAUUUCCCCCUUUUUAUAUGAACACCAGUCACACUGGAUUAGAGGCCUACCCAACUACGGUAUGACAUUAUCUCAACUAAUGAUACAAGCAACAACUCUAUUUCCAAGUAAGAUCAUGUUCUGAGGUGAUCUCUCAGAGAAAGUGGGAAUCAGAACUUCACCACGUAAAUUCUUGGUGCACAACUCAACCCACAACCAACCCCAAACUGGAAAGAAUUCAGAUGUUCUUCCACAGGGGAUUGGUUAAACACAUGGUGUGCCUCCAUCUCGUAGAACACCACUCAGCUGUAAAAAGGGAUAAACUGUUGACACACACAGCAACCUGGGUGAAUCUCUAGAAAACUGGGCUGAGUGAAAAAACUAAUCUCAGAAGUUUACAUAUCAUAUAAUUCUAUAUUUAUGUAAAAUUCCUGAAAUUACAAAAUUAUAGAAACAGAAAACAGAUUAGUGGUUUUUAGGACUGAUGUAGGGGAUGAAGUAGAGGAAGGUGGGUAUGGUGACAAAAAGGGCAAUAAAUGGGAUCUUUGUAGUAAUGGAAAAGUUCUCUUUACUAUGCCAAUUUCAGCAUCCUGGUUGUGAUAUUUUACUAUACUUUUGCAAGACGUUAGCAUUGGAAGAAGUUGGCUAGACUACGAACACUCCUUCUGUAUCAUAUCUUAUAGCUGCAUGCCAAUCUAUAGUUAUGUCACAAUAAAGUUUUAACACAAAAAAUAUACAGGACAUAGGUACAUGAUACAUACAUAGCGAAGUGCUCAGCAGAUGUUAUUAUUAUCUUUGUUAGAAGACUAUUUUUGUCAUACAGUUUCAACACUGAGCGUGUUUACACAAAAUACAUUUGUUCUUUACCUUCCCUCAAAGAACAUAGAAACAGGAAAAUCAAGGGGAACCAACACCCAUUUUUCACUGUAACUGAGCUCUGCCCAUCUUUCUGAGCCCUAAAUGAUGCUCUGUGAGCUCUCUUGGAUACUGAAAGAAGUAAAAUCUUUUUUCCUAGUUCUUUUCCAUGUUCUCCAGUGUAUUACUGUGUAAUUAUAUUAUGUUACAUUAUAAAGUUACAUGUUAUAUUAUAUAUAUAUAUAUAAAAUAUAUGUUAUAUUGUGAAGAAGUUAUGAGAUCUUGCUGCCUUUCACAUUGCCUAUUGUCUUCAAUGGCGAAGGAACCACUUAAAGUGGGCACUUAACUAUGGGGAAGGCGUGUAUAUGGUUGGAAGUCCCCAAAUGAAUAGUUGUAGGUAUGUGUUCCUUUCAUGGUGGAGUAAAGGGAUCCUGCUUCCAUUCUUAUCUUCAGAAAAUAAAGAGAUUAGAAACAGGAAACGUAAGAUUUAUUUUCAGUGGAACUAGAAGGCGUGUGCCAUCCUAAAUGUCAGUGUCUCAACAAGAGUGGACAAGUGCAGUGAAAGAAGUCAAAAGGAGGUGCACAGAGACGCCGAGUCAGGAUGUGCCACAUGGCAGUUCGUAGACAAAGCCAACAGAAUGUAGAUCUUCAAUGCUGGUGGCGCAACAGGAGGGGCAAAACAACCACCCAUUGUUGGGAGCCGUGGUGGUGAGGUGUGUGGGCUGGUGGAAGAGGGAUACUCAAUGGGUUUGGGUGAGUGAGAAAGGACACAGCCGUUGCCAUAGUUGUGAGCUCUGUGGUGAAAGAGGAUCUGCCCUUGAGCCUGCUGUAGCUGCCUUCACCCAGCUCUGCACCACAAAGAACCUCGCUAACAACACCAAUGGCUGCGCCUGAAACAGCUCACGUGGUGCAAAGACAAGUGACAGGCUGAGUGGUGGAGUAGGGUGAGGAGAACAAAGAACAGGUUCUGCAGGGAAGUAAUGUAGAAUAGAUUAGAAAAACCAAAAGUAAAUGGCAGAUAGAAAACGUGCACCUAAAAAAUCUUCCCAAUGCAAAAUAUCUGUGUUUAAAACACUGACUUAUGUUCGUUUUUUAAAGAAAGCAAUAAUUUCCAGAAAACAAAAACUUAAGCCAUGCAUAUAAGAGGUCAUGAAAGAUGUGGUGAAGCAAUGGAAGAAGAUAAAGAUGAGCUGAUCAAGCUCAGGCAAUAAGUAGAAGAAAAAAAUACAAACAUCAAAUAUAAAGUCCUGUUUGGAAAUAACCCAAGGGAAAUUAAAGAUUAUUGAAAAUAUGGCAGGAAGUAUCGCUGUGACAGCACUGAGAACAGCAGGCAAAACAAAGACAACGUGAGCAAAGAGUUAAAAUGAGUUUUUUAAUGGUAAAUAUGGAAGACAAAGUGAAAUCGACAAACGGAUAUUUGCUACUCCUGAAGAAGAGAAUCAAAUAACAAAAUGGAGAAAAACUAAAGAUGCAAGUCAGUAAAACUUUACAGAACCAGAAGAUUCAUAAAAGGUUUCAAAUAAAUGACUAAGUCUCUGUCAGCAUUAUUGGUAGGUUUUGCCUCAGCUGCUAGACCUCUACCAAACAAAUGCAUCUUCUACUGGUUUGAUUUCUUCGGUUGCUGUAUCUCUUCGAGUAAUGUAUGUACAAGUGAUGGUGAGAGACGAGUGAAAAGUCACAGCUUAAAUAUCCCCUGGGAUGGCAGUGUUUACAGCCUGGCUUGUUCAAAGUGCAUGCUUGAUUUUUUUUUUUUUUUUUUUUUUUUUUUGAGACGGAGUCUCGUUCUAUCGCCCAGGCUGGAGUGCAGUGCGGUGAUCUCGGCUCACUGCAAGCUCCGCCUCCCGGGUUCACAGCAUUCUCCUGCCUCAGCCUCCUGAGUAGCUGGGACUACAGGCGCCCAUCACCACGCCUGGCUAAUUUUUUGUAUUUUUAGUAGAGACGGGGUUUCACCGUGUUAGCCAGGAUGGUCGCGAUCUCCUGACCACGUGAUCCGCCCACCUCGGCCUCCCAAAGUGCUGGGAUUACAGGCGUGAGCCACAGCGCCCGGCCUGCAUGCUUGAUUUUGAGUGCCAAACUAAUGUUUACAUAAAGAUCAAAAUACAGAUAUAUAUUGCAGUAAAUUUAUUUGGCUUCAAAAAUUGAAAAAAUAAUUCAUUGGGUGUAACACGAUGAAAAAGAUGAGCCCAGCCUUUGGUCUUUCAACAGAAUUAUAUAGAGCAGAAAUAGAAGAAAUUGGAGCAAUGCAUACAAUAGGAGAGUACAUAGCUAUUUUUAAAAUGUAGCAACUCUAACAGGAGUGAUCUGGAAUGUAUUUUAAGUAAAAAUAUAUUUUAAGUAAAAAACAGUAGGAUGCUACUUUGUAUGCACAUCUUAGGAUGUAUUUUAAAAGCUGACGAUGGAGAUUGUCUCUGGGCAGAGGUACGAAGGAUACUUGAAUCAAUCAAUCCAUUUUUUUCUCUCUUCCUUUCUCUGUCUCUCUUUUUUUUUUUUUAACUGUCGCCUAUACUAUUAAAAAGAACAAAAAGAAAUAAAAUAGACUUGUUUAUUCAAGAUAAAUUCUUUACUGGAGCCUGGAAAUUCACCAUUAGUUUUGGUCUGUGAUUUUAUUCACUGCUUUUCAUUUUAAGAUGUAAAUACUUGUAUGCCAGGUAGUACAUUUUAAGCCCCUUGGGAGAGAAGGAACAUUACAUUCUUUUGUUUUUCUUCAAAAUACUUUUAUCAGAGAAGAUGCUCAAUACACCCUGAUUGUCUGGACAUUGACUAAGCUAAAAUGAAGCAACAGAAGAGGAUGCGUGCAAUGAUUCAUAGUGUUGCUUGAGUAUGCAAAUCUUAGCAGAUUGUCAUCGUUGCUCCUUAAACUCAUUUAGCAAAAUGAGACAGGGAAUUGAGAAUUGGAAAUAAAACUAUCACUUCUAAGCCAUUUCCUACUCUUCUUUAAGAACUAUAUUUUUUCUUUUUGGCUAGGAAGAUACAUCUCUGCCUGUGAAUGGUUGUCUAGAAUGAUAUUAACCUCUCAGGCUUUAUCAAGAGCUAAAUAUACUAAUGGCAAGAGUUGCUCCAUGUUAACUGCGUUUAGGCUGAACCCUUGAUAGACUAUUUUGAUCUUUGAUCUGUAUUAGGACAUUGGACGAAUGAGGUCCCAAGGUUCUUCUGAGCUCUGAUCCAUUCUGAGCUGAUCUCCUAAAGUCUGACUCAUACUUCAAUUAUUUCCAGGUUCUUUAGGACAAAGCUUACUGUAAUCUCUAUGUUGCCACUACCAACACAAGAGUUAAGAACAGAAAAAAGCUUUAAUAGGAGGCAGGUGAUAAAUAAAAUUGGCUGCCCUAGUAUCUCUGAUAUAAUCACAUACUCUCUCAUCUAUUAGCAUGGCACUUUACAGCCGUGAUUUAACCCACACAAGCCUGUAUAAGGCACCUACUUAGAUUCAUUAGAAGCUCCAAAUAGAUGACUGAGUCUUCAUCAGAAUUAUUGGUAGGUUUAGCCUCAGCUGCCAGACCUCUAUUAAACAAAUAAACCUUUCUUUUACUGGUUUGAUUUCUUUGGUUGCUAUAUCUCUGAGUAAUGUUCAUACAAGUGAUAGUUAGAGAUGAGUGAAUAGUUGCAUCUAAAAUGUCUCCUGGAAUGGCAAUGCUUGCACUCUGCCUUGUUAAAAGAGCUUGCUUGAUUCUCUCCCAGCUGUUGUUCAGAAUAGGGCUCUGUGGAAUCAUUAGAAAAAGAAGUUCCGUGACAUGCUUAUAUGAAUAAAUAUCCUGCCUGCUCUUAACUCCUGUUUUCCCAUCUGGGGCCAUUAGUAAAGAUCUACCAGUUGAUCUUAAUUGCUAUGAGAGAGAGAAAGAUGGCCUCAAGGGUCACCAACGUUUCCUACCAUAGAGGAUUUUAAAGAAUCAAGUCAUAGGAGCCUACCACAGGAUGCAAAAAGGAAGCCAAGGCGACCAAGUCUAAGAAUGUCUAAACAAGUAUCCUGUUAGGGGUGUGCUGGAGUGUAUAUUUUUAUGGAUGAAAAUGACUCAUUGCACAAACUGUUCCUCCUAAAUAUUACCUUUCCUCGGAGUGAAAAAAUAGACAACUUUCUUAGCUCAUCAUCUAAAUUAGUAGGCACUCCACCAUGUUUUAUCAGCCUCAGGUCAAAGCAUUAUUGCUGGAUGGUGGCUAUUAAUAUGUGGCUGUGGCCACAUCUGAAGUGUUUUCUUAAUAAUCCACUUUUCCCCCAACCAGAGCUGAACGGGGGCCAGCUAUAUUCAGUCUUUAUGGGGAGGGAUGUCUCCAAAACUGCUCUGCUGAACCAGCCUUGGCUUGCUUGUGGUAUUUGAUGCCAUAAGUGCACUCAUAGUACACGGACUGUUCUGACCCUGUUCCUCAUUUCUGUCAGUAAAACCGAGUAGCUAUUCAGAUAAUAUAGAAGCAUGUUUACUCUGCCAAAGUUAAUUUGAAUAAUCAGUUCAUCCUGGAUAAGGAAAUAUCUCUUCAGUACUCUGGUCGUGAUGUUAUCUGAAAGCACAUGUUUAAAAGGGAGAUGUUACAGAUAAUUCAGUCUAAUUUCUCAGCCUAAUAUGAACCAGGGAAAACCUAGACUUGCAGUUUUCCAUAGUCAAUCAUGAGAUUGGGAGGAAAUACUGAGUGUAACCACAGGGCAUUUCCAUGGGCCAUAAUGAGGUUUUACUAGUAAUAUAAUUGUAUUCAUUUUAAACCUGGAAAAGUCAUGAAUAGUGAACCAGUUCUACUCUUCCAUUAAAAAAAUUUUUUAACUUAAUUUGUGUGUUUUCCACUUAAAUACAUUAGAGUUUACUUUUCCUGCCUCAGCUAAUGUCAUAAUUAUAUCUGUGUAGAUUAUAUUAUUUUUCUUCAUCUGCACAAUUCAGAUAGGCAUCAGUGUUAUAAGAUCAUAAUAAAUAAUAUUAGUUCCAUGUACAUAGUUGUGUUAGAGUGGCAGCAUAGCUAUAAAUUACUUUAAAAAUUCUUUAAUUUGUGUAAUCUUUGCCUCUUCAAAAAAUUCUGGGCAUAUUUAGGUUUAACUAAUCUUUUACCAGUUAAGUGUCUGUUUAAUACUACCAAUUAGGUGUCUAGUUGAUAUCACUGUUCUCUUUUUACAUAUCCAACAAAAAAUUUAUUGAGUGACUACCAAGUACUAGUACCAGUACAGAUGCUGAAAAUAUAAAGAUGAAGAUGUGGGGUGGGAACGUUUCUAUCUGGAUAGAUGUAGGAAGUACAAGAGACUAUCACUUCCACUCUAACCUUAAUAUCAAGCCAGACACUCUACAGCAUUGUAACAUCUCAAACCCAUCAGAGCUGAGUAUGCAAAAAGAGACAAUUAACUAAUUUCCAGAAAGUGGCAAGACAUUUCCAUGAGAGAAGAGAUCCACAGUUGCUUUUAUUCCUGGUGGACUAAUAGGAGAAGAGAAACCAGCCCAACUUUUGGUGGCUGCAUGUGAGCUGGCAGGAAGGAUUAGAAUCUCAAGGAGCUCCAGACACAAAAAGUCUGCAUCUGUCUGCCCACUCUUCUCCAGGGACCUUCACUAAAUGCACAGGGUACAGUGCCAAAUGAUGGAAUCAGAGCAGGUUUGCUGAACUAAUUUACCCUGACAUAUGAGGGACUUUUUUUUUUUAAAGACAAGGCAGAAGGCUGCUGAAGUCUAGGGGUAGAGCAGGAGAGAGGAAAGGAAUCCCUUUGAGGCACUUUAGGCCUUCACCAAAUACACUGCAGAAGUCCUAUGAGGGCUAGAGUUGGGCAGGAAAGCUGAGAAUAAUUCCACCAAAGUAAUAUUGGUCUUCACAGAACACACCAUAGAGACCCUAAAGGCCGGCAGUCAGACAGUAAUGCUAAGAGAGAGCACUACUUUGGAGGCACACAAAGCUAGAAGUGGUACUAGACCAAAACCAAACCAAACAAACAAACAAACAAAAAACAAUUCCCUGAGAACCCCAUCUCCCUCAAAAAAAAAGCUAACAGAUGGACUGACAAGUAGAUAGAGAUUUCCAGAGCUUAGAAGUUUGGUGGCUGGGCUGUUAAGGAGAACAAUAUUUUCAGAGUCUUGACAAUGUGCAGAUACCCAGUCUUGCUACAGAGAAAGUCCUAUCAUGUCUUCAAACUUACAGUUAGUGGUCAACUGAACCUAACUAAAGCUAGACUAAGUUCAGACACAUCUCAGCUGCAGAGUAGCUAACUCAGCCUUGAGAGAAGAAGGAGUGUAUCCUUUUGGGGGGGUUCAUUAUUAUUUACUUUAGUCUGUAAUAAUACUUUACCUACAAUAUCUGAACCACAAUAAAAAUUGAUGAAUUAUGUGAAGAAACAUAAGGUCAAGAGAGAAAAUAGUCAACAGAAGCAGACCAAGGGAUGGACCAGAUGGAAUUAUUGGACAGAUUACACACACACAGACACACACACACACACACAGACACACACACACACAUAUGUAUAUAUGUUAAAGAUCAGCAGAAAAUGGACAACAAAAAAGUAAAAAAGUAAAGGAAAUCUUAGAUAGAAAUGCUAGAGAAUCAAAUAGAUGUGCUAGAAAAAAAAGUACAAUAUCAGAAAUAGAGAAGUUUUUUGAUGGGUUUAAUAGCAAACAUGGCAUAGCAGAGGAAGGGAUUAGUAAAUUUGAACAAGUGAAUAGAAAUUAUCCAAUUUGCAAAAUAGAGAGGAAAAGAGUGAAAAAAUGAAAAAGGCUACUUGAGACCUGAGGAUAAUAUCAAAUUAUCUAAUCACAGGUAACUGGAGUCUAGAAGAGAGGAGAAUGGGAGUUGAGAAGAAAGAAAUAUUUGAAGAGAUAGUGGCUAAGAACUUAAAGACCUCAACCACUGGAAAGACAGCUAGAGAGAGCCUGGAUAUAGAUGGGGCUAGGAACUUCUGUUCAGAUUGGCUGUUCAAGGAAAGCACAUAUGAGAUGCCAUAAUUUGAGCAGAAACCAAAAGCCAUGACAAAAUAUAGUUGAAGGCACUCUAGGCUUAAGAAACAAGUGUAAAAGCCCUAAAUUGGUAGUAAUCCUGGCAUGUUGAGGACAGCAGGAAGCUGGGGAGGGGGAAGCUGCAGGAAAUAAUUUGAGGAGGUCUGCAGGAGUGAGAUCAUAUGUGACCUUGGGUAGGCCAUUAUAAGAAAUUCUAGUAAUCAGGCCGGGCGCAGUGGCUCAUGCCUGUAAUCCUAGCACUUUGGGAGGCCAAGGCGGGUGGAUCACGAGAUCAGGAGAUCGAGACCAUCCUGGCUAAAUGGUGAAACCCUGUCUCUACUAAAAAUACAAAAGAUUAGCCAGGCGUGGUGGCGGGUGCCUGUAGUCCCAGCUACUCGGGAGGCUGAGGCAGGAGAAUGGCAUGAACCUGGGAGGUGGAGGUUGCAGUGAGCCGAGGUCACAACAUUGCACUCCAGCCUGUGUGACAGAGCGAGACUCCAUCUCAAAAAAAUAAAAAAAAAAAAAAAGAAAGAAAUUCUAGUAGUCAGGGUUCUCCAGAGAAACAGAACCAAUAGUGUGUACACACACACACACACACACACACACACACACACACACACACGUUAUAAAGAUUUGGCUUGCGUGAUUGUGGAGGUUAAGUCCCAUAAUCUGCUAUCUGCAAGCUGGAGGCCAGGGAAGUUGGUGGUGUAAUUAGUCUGAUUCCAAAGUCCUGAGAACCAGAAACGAUGCUGAUAUAAAUCCCACUGCAAGGCCAAUGUCCUAGCUCAAGCACUCCAGCAGAGAGAGAAUCCUUACUUCUUCCAGCUUUCUGUUCUGUUCAGGCCCUCAACAGGUUGGAUAAGCCACACCCACAGUGGGGAGGGCAGUCUGCUCAGUCCACCAUUCAAAUGCUAAUUUCUUCCAGAAAGCCUCUCACAGACACACCCAAAAAUAAUGCUUAACCAGAUACCUGGGCACUCCUGUGAAACAGUCAAGUUGACACGUAAAAUGAACCAUCACCGAAGCGUUGGACGAAUCCUGCUAUGGGAGGCCACUGGAAAGUCUUAAUGCAUUUAAUGGAAAUUGUUUGAACUAUGGAGCAUCCAGAUAAAUUUUCACAUUUGAUUUCCUUUUGUAAAAAAAUGUUGAGGCAUAAAAAUUUCAGUUCAGUACAGAUUUUUUACUGGUCCUCAUGUGACACCACUCUCUCCCAUCAAGUAUGUCAGGAAACUUGGAGGUCAUUCUUGGGUGAGGAUCAUAUUACAUAAUACUUUAAAGGUGAUAAGAUCUGUUCAAGAUUUUGAACUGUUUAGCUCCACAUUAUAAAGGAGACAUUUUAGCCACAUAAGUUCUCACCAACAGAAAAUACUCAGGUUCACAUUCCACACAGGUCAGCAAUGAUGAAUGCUUUAGCCACUGCAGCGAUACUUAAAGUAGGACCCAUGCAGAAAUUAAAAGGGAUGGGACCUGUAAUCCCAGCACUUUCGGAGGCUGAGGUGGGCGGAUCAUGAGGUCAGGAGAUCGAGACCAUUCUGGCUAACACGGUGAAACCCCAUCUCUACUAAAAAUACAAAAAAUUAGCCGGGCGUGGUGGCGGACACCUGUAGUCCCAGCUACUGGGGAGGCUGAGGCAGGAGAAUGGUGUGAACCCGGGAGGCAGAGCUUGCAGUGAACCAAGAUCGUGCCACUGCACUCCAGCCUGGGCAACAGAGCAAGACUCCGUCUCAAGAAAAAAAAAAAAAAAGGGAUGGGGUGUGUCUGCACAGGGGGUUUUAUUUCUGUGAACACUGCUUCAUACUCAUUCUACAUGUCAGGUCCUCUGUGUUUCUCAUGACACAGGGCAACAACCUCCCCUGGAGAGAGAAAAGAAAACUUACUAGAGCUCCAAUUGGUGCUUAUUUUCUUUAAACAAAGACAGAUACUUGAUCUCUGAAUUACAAGUACAAUUUCCAAGGACUUCAGGAUGGAGAAAACCGCUUCAGUUUUUGUGUCAGCCGUAGGAGCAUGGCUUAAAUUUUGUCUUGUUAAAAAGAGAAGUUUAAGUAAGUAGAUUUAAGAUAAAAGUUUUAUCCUUGUAGGAUUUGCAAUGCAAGGAACAAAAUGACCUCAAGAUCAUUAAAAGAGAGUAUUUCUGCAUCCCAAGGUAAAUGGAAGGAAUGUAUUUCUAUUGUUUCUUGGGUCCAAUUUUAAAAUAUAGUGUUAGUCAGACCAAGGGCAUGAGCUUGCUUACGUCCUAGACCGAGAGCCCCACUCUACCUGGACUAACUGAAGUUUAAUGGGAAUUGGCCCCAUGGGAGAGGAAAAGCCACUCUAAGCUUAGGAUUAGUGAGAGGAUCAGGGAUGCAGGGGCCAGCAUUAAUAAAUGGAGCCAGUGGAAGUGGGCAGAGCUGGCACCGUGUCUCUCAGAGGGGUGAGGCUUAAGCAGAGUUCUAAAGGAAAAGAGGUGGAUUAACUAAGGUUUUGUGAUACUCAAGGUCCCUGAGUUUGUUCUUAAAAACAUGUAUCUGCUCCUGUGCUAUCCAACUCAUUUCACUUACCAAUAGAGGCACUGCCAAAAGUAAUGAGGUUCAGGAAGAAUGAGCUACAGUUAUUUCAGCCUCCUAAUGCCCUAUGUUUGCCAACUGAUUUUGAGUGCACAGUCCUAAAUGGCUACACUAUGUACAAAGCUGAAGGAUUUGCUCUUGUGUUGUUCAGACAGCAGUGUACAAUUACACUUGAAAAUUCAUAGAUUAGGUUGUGGAAAACCAGUACAUCGAAUUGAGAAUACCUAUGAUGCAUUUAGAUAGAGGAAAUGUAUUUAUGGUUCAAAGAGUAGCAGAUCGCCCACUCAUCAGUGGAAUCACCUUUCUUUCUUUCUUUUUCAAUUUCUUCCCUUUUCAAUUUGUCUCCUUCUUUUUCAAUUUUCCUGACUUAAUCUUUUCUCAUCCCUUUUCCCUGCUUUCUAAAUCUUACCGGGAGCAUAUGGACACACAAGCUGAAUGCACACUUCUGGCAAUUAUUCUUGGAAAAUGCUUCGGCAAACUGUGUGAUGAUUGUAUUACUGCUCUUACCACCUGGAAGAAUCUAUUAUGAUAAAAACAUGUGAUUGGGCAGGAGGCCUUGCUCGAGGGCCCUCUGGGAUGGACGGAAUGUGGGCUUGAACCCAGUGCUCUUCCAGGUUUAUUUUUACUUGCUGGCAUGCUCCAGGUAUUGCUGUGGGCAUCCGCCAGGAGGCGUCUACCCACGUUUCCACAAAAGGGAGCCUUGGACUAGAGCUUAUGCCACCUCCACAGCCCUCCUAUCAUGUUCAGCCAAGGCGUCUAGGCUGGUUACAAAAGAGAUUUUUUAAAAAGAGACCCACGAGUCUGUCAACUCUUCCAUACUUCUUAAACUGUUAAAACUAAUCUCCUGGAAGCAUGAGAUAGUUGAUCUGAGUUGGGAAAAGAAAAAAUGAUAUAAGUGAUCAAUAUCGCUCUGUAUAAUUCAUCAGAAUCUCUAGAAUAACUACUGAAGAAAUUCAUUAUACACUUACCUAAACCAAUAAAUGAGGAAUCACAUUUGUAAAGUAACAGUACAGGUUUCUAGUUAAACAUGGGGCAUUGGGCAUGUGGCUUCCCUCUGCCCCCUUCCACAAGUCCAUGUAAAUGCCAGUAAAAGGAACAAAAGACAAGGUCAGUAGUGAAGAGGUGAUGAGUCAGGAGUGGGCUAGAGGUGUCCACACAUUUUUGGAAUAUGUAGGGGUUGGAGGAGUGGAGACUGAUCCAGUGGAGGGACAAAGCUGAACUCAGUGUCUGCAGGUGUCAUUGAGCAGCAACUGUUAGAGUCCCAUAAUGGCACAUGACUGGGGGCUCCAGAUACCACGGAGAGCAAGGAUAACACCAGGCAAAAUUGCAGGAAAAUCUUCAUAUUUUCCUGCAUUUACACCCCCACUUUCCCUCUCGUAUCUCCAGCUUCAGGCAACCACACCUACCCUUUGCUUCUAGAGGAGCUUAGAACUUUGUAACUGGACAAACAGUUGAAAGAACUCAGACCUCAGGGAGCCCAAGCACCCUGCAGGGCAGUAGUCCACCCCAGGGAACAUUGGCAGACGUCUAGAGACAUUGUUCAUUGGCACAACUUGGGGGUGCUCCUGGCGUGUCAUGAGUAGAGGCCAGGGAUCUGCUAAACAUCCUACAAUGCACCGAACAGUCUCCCACAGGGCUAGAGCCCAGGAUGCCAAUAGUGCCACGGUUGAGAAACCCUUUUCUAGGGUGAAGAGACAGACAGGGCUGAAUGCAGAAGAUGAAGCUGAAGUCUACACACCGAAUUAUGGAAGCCUCAGCUCUCUUCCCAGCUCUGCUCCCAGAAUGCUGAAUGGCAGGUGGGCUUGGGCAGUUCUUUUCCACCAGAAAGCAGAAAAGUCCUCUAGACAGUGACUUUGGGUGUGUCCCAAUAAAAAAGCUCUCACUGCCCAGUCAUCCAACAUUAAGAUCCACCAGCUAGCAAGACCCCUAGCGUGCUCAAGGGUCCGGUCAGCUUUUUAACGGCUUCGUUUUAAAUACGAAUGACAAGAAAGAAUUUUAGAAACAUUCUAGAAUCAGACGUUUUAGAACAACCUCUAAAAGGAAAGGCAUAUUCUAAAAUAAAGCAACUGAAGUUAAAUUUUCAGAAGUGUAAACAGAGGAAAAUUAAAAAGUAUAGAAACAAGAAUGCUUCAAAAACCUCGUAGUUAAUAUCCUUGGAGAGAUAACGGAAGAUUCAAUAGAUUCUAUGCUAAAGAGAGAAAUCAGAGGACAGGAUAGCGCUAUGUGAAAUUAAAAAUAUGUGUGCUAAAAAAAAUACAUAGAAGAAUUUAACAAUAAAGUUGAAAUUGCCUGGAGAGUAAAAUAAGAGGCAAAGAAAUUGACAAGAGGAGAGGAAAGAUAAGAAAAUGGGGGGCUCUAGCAUGUGAUCACUGGAAGUUCUAUGUAUAGAGAGAGAUAAUAAGGGGGAGAAAUCAGUGGAAACAAUGCAAGAAUAAUUCCUCAAACCAAAGAAUAUGCACCUCCAGAGGGAAAGGCCUGUCAAGUAGCCAGCCCCAAAAAUCGAAAGAGAAACAAAGGCAAAUUAUUGUGAAUUUUUAGAACAUCGAAGAGAAAAAAUAAGUCCAAAGCAUUGGAAAUAGGAAUGGGCUCGAGCUUCUUUGCAGCAUCCUGGUGCCCUAGAAGGCAAUGGAGUAGUCCCUUCGGAUCAUCUAAAGGAGGAUUCUACACUUACUCACACCCCUCCAUACAAGGUGAGGAAGGAACAAAGACAUUUCAGGCAGCCAGGAGCACCUAAAUCUACCUUGUAUGCAUCCUUUUUUGAGGAAGACACUGGGAAGUGGGAGAAACUGAGAGAGACGGAGCUAGGAUCCUGAAGUAAGACACCCAAUCUCAGGGCACAUCUGAGGACAGGUACAGAGCCCCUGUGCAGGUGGUCUGGCAAGUGCCCAGUCUCACCUGGAGAUAAAGGCAGAGAUUAGAAGGCAAAGGUCUCCAGGAAAGAAAAAUGAAUCUGAAUGAUUUCCGGAUUUGUAGGACUAGUAAAGCACUGGUUUUAACUCAGGCAGACCCAGAUUUUAAUUGCUUAAUCACGGUACAUACAGAGGCCAAAUGUCUGAAUUAUAGGAUUGGUCUUGUAAGUACAAUCCUCGAUCCAGAAUCUGAGGAGGUUUUAGGGAAAGGAAGAAAAAGAAUUUGCCUUGGUUUUGUUGUCACAUUUUGCAUCCAAAAGGAAUACUUAACACUCCGUAAAAUAAAACUGCAUUCUUCACUAGGUUCCUGAAGUUUCUAUCCAAUGCUUAGCAAGUUUUAGGUGUGCCACAAAUAAAUGUUAGUUGAAUGAAUAUUUCAAAUAUGGAUCUUAGUCCUACAAAGUGUGGAAGAAUACGGAAGACCUCCCAGAAAUCUUUAUAAAAUACAUUGAGGAACAGGCCUGGCCCCAAAUGGAAAAGCUCAAGCAAUGAAUGUGUUCUAUAGAGACUAAGAACCGGAUAGAGAUUUUAAAUUAAAGGAAAUAGAAUGGAGAGAUUUAGCCAAUUAUGGAGCCAAGAUAAUCCUGAUAAAAGCCACUUUCAAAAAUAAAGAAUGGAAUAAGUGUGUGAUCUUGGCGAUACCCAACUCCAUGAUCUUAGGGGGGUUAGCUAACAGAUUUAAUGAGGCACCCAAUUAUUUUGAAAAAAAAAUCACAAAAACCCGGCAUGAUGCCAGAGCUACACACAGAAGCUGCAAAAUCGUCUUAAAAAUAGGUGAAUAACAGUCUUGAAAAUUUGGUUUUAAUCCUUGUAACAAUAACAUGAUUAAAAUGAGAUGAAAAUGGCAAGUGGCCCUCGUUCUGAUGUUUUUGUGACUCACAAUUCCCCCUGAGCCCUUCUAAAACUUCCUGGACAGAUCAGCUUUAUUCAGCCUCUGGAAACAAGUCUGUCUUGAAUGCUAAAAAGCAGGGAGGCCAGGCACGGUGGCUCGUACCUGUAAUCCCAGCACUUUGGGAGGCUGAGGUAGGUGGAUCACCUGAGGUCGGGAGUUCGAGACCAGCCUGACCGACAUGGAGAAACCCCAUCUCUACUAAAAAUACAAAAUCAGCUGGGCACGGUGGUGUAUGCCUGUAAUCCCAGCUACUCAGGAGGUUGAGGCAGGAGAAUUGCUUGAACCCGGGAGGCGGAGGUUGUGGUGAGCCAAGAUCGCGCCGUUGCAUUCCAGCCUGGGCAACAAGAGCAAAACUCUGUCUCAAAAAAAAAACAAAAAAAAACAAAAAAAACAAAAACAAAAAAAAAAAGGAGAAGGAAAAGGGCAGUAACUUGAGAUCAAGGUGACCUGGCUGCUAAUAUUUUAUCCCAUGAUUCAAUCUGAGUAAUCAAAGUUCUGUUUUUUUCCUUAGGUUGAGCAUCUAUUGACUCAUUUGUAUCUGCCCUCUGUGGCUCAGUCUUUGCCUUGAUAGUUGGUCCAACUCCUUCCUUUAGUUUGCUUGUCUGACCUAUGUAAACUUUGGAGCCCUGUCCCCAGCCUGGAGGCUGCAUCCUGUGGUUAGAUGUUGAUCUCAUAAGACUGCCUCUGACUACCUACACCUCCUGUGGCUGUCCUCCACCUGCCUACAGAAAACCUCCCUCUGUAUCUUCUUGGUCUCUCUGUUGCCUUGCACUCACUUGGAUGCCAUUUACCUUACUAUUUUCUGUAUACUCAGAAUCAACUGUGUGUUUCAAGUUGACUCAUGAACGAGUUUGUUUUGAUUGCCUUCUGUGCAUCCCAUUGGUUAAGGAGGGAGGGAUUAUGGAGAUGGCCAAGUAAAUGGCACCUGCCGCUGGACAGAUAACACUGACAGCAGUUUAUUAAUCACAUACAUUCACAGCCUGCAGGUGGAGGCCACUGCAGGAACAGCCACAUAAAGGCUGCACUUGGGAACACAGUGAACAAGCAGGGGAUGUGGGAGGCAGGCUUUGUAGUAACAAGAGGUUGAGGUGAACCCUGGUUCCAUGGGAGAAUGUGACUGGCUUAUUUGAAUAAUUCCAUGGGCUGGAAGGGAACUGAAGGCUGCCAUUCAGAGAAAAGCAGAAACUGGGCCUGCACUUCUUAAUAAGGAGGGUUGUUUGGCGACGGGAUCUAUGGGAGCCCCAUGCAGAGGGAAGCUUGCAGUUAGGCCACUGGAGGCUCUCCUGGUUUUUCCAAGAUGUCAAGGCACAUAUGAUAUUGAGGCUUCAUUUUAGGUCUUCAUACCACAGGUUCUCCCUCUAUCUCCUGACCUGUUUGUGUGUUUAUGUCUAUCUCUACCUUUUCUGCUCCAACCACUGCAUUUAGCCUUCCAUCUCUUACUGCAUCAUGGGGCAGCGUCAGUCCACACCAACUGCACUGGUCUGUUUAGCAUUAAAAGAUCAUACAGCUUACUGGAGACUUCAUGAUUAUUCACCUGAAUACAUUCAUUUCAUAGCUGAGGAAGCUGAGGUUAUUGAAUGCCCUGAGCCCAGUCACGUAGCUAGUUAUUACCAGAAAGAGCGUUCUUGAAAACGUGACGUUCAAGGUUUUUCAUCGAUACAUAGAAUUAAAGUCUUUUUUUUUCUUUGAGACAGGGUCUCACUCUGUUGCCCAGGCUGGAGUGCAGAGGCACUGUCUCAGCUCACUGCAACCUCUGCCUCCCAGGUUCAAGCUGUCCUCCUGUUUCAGCCUCCAAGUAGCUGGGAUUGUAGGUGCACGCCACCACAGCCAGCUAAUUUUUGUAUCUUUAGUAGAGAUGGGCUUUCACCAUGUUGGCUAGGCUGGUCUUGAACUCCUGAACUCAAAUUAUCUGCCCACCUUGGCCUCCCAAAGUGCUGGAAUUACAGGCAUGAGUCACUGCGCCUGGCCGAAUGUCAUAUUUUUAAAAGGAGAUAUGUUCUUGUGAGAAAUUUGUUCAAAUUAUUUGGAAAUUUAAAAAAUACUCAAACAUAAGUUGGAAUAUUAAUUGCUCAGUGAAUAAUGCUAUAUAUUGGAUGAGGUUUUAAGACCUCUGGUAAGUCAGGGUGGUGCACCGUUACUAUUAAGCAACAUGAACAACUUCUGGAUUAUCAAUUAUUUCUUAUAAUUUGGAAAUGACAGUGAUUUUCCUACCUUCUAUUUAAAACCACAGAGGCGCCAUUUAUUUGAAUAAUCACUGGCAUGAAGUUCUGUGACUUGUGAGUAGUUCCUGCUGUGUUUCUGGGGAUAUAAGAGCACCCAGGCCUGGUUCCCUCUUUCUGGUCCCCAGAGUUUGCAAUGUCAGGAUAUGCAACAGUUUCGUAAAUGUAAGGUUCAUGAGGCUGGCAUUUUGGACUCUUUUUUAAAAAUUAGAUCAUUUUUAAAGUUGACACAUUGUAAUUGUACAUAUUUAUGGGAUACAAUUUGAUGUUUUCAUGCAUAUAAGUGGUGUAUAAUGAUCAAGUCAGGGUACUUGGCAUGUCUGUCACCUCAUACAUUUAUCAUUUAUUCUCUGCUGUAACCUUAGUACUUUGCAUAUGCCAGGCACCCUGUAAAUAAAUGCCUGCUGAAUAAUGAAUGCAAUAAGUACUGGUUUCCAUACAUGUCCACCUGUUGCCAAAAUAAGCCACAGAAGCUCCAGAGACGAGCCCUGUUGGUUUUAUCCACCGUGCUAUAGUUGUACCCUUUGGAGCGACUGCACUUCAAAAUAUAAAUUCCUAACCAGGCACUACAUGUUCCCCAGAGACAGGGCUGUUGGCUGAAAGCAGAUUGAUGGAGUUGUAGGAAGUGUGCCCAUUAUAAGCUAUUGAUAAUCUUUUAUUUUAUAUAUAUAUUUUUUUCUUUUGAGAUGGAGUCUGGCUCUGUCACCCAGGCUGGGGUGCAGUGGCGCGAUCUCGGCUCACUGCAGCCUCUACCUUCCAGUUUCAAGUGAUUCUCCUGCCUCAGCCUCCCGAGUAGCUGGGAUUACAGGUACAUGCCACCAUGCCCGGCUAAUUUUUGUUUUUGUUUGUUUUGUUUCAAGACGGAGUUUUGCUCCUUCGCCCAGGCUGGCGUGUGGUGGCAUGAUCUUGGCUCACUGCAACCUCAGCCUUCCGGUUUCAAGAGAUUCUCCUGCCUCAGCCUCCCGAGUAGCUGGGAUUAGAGGUGUCCGCCACCAUGCCUGGCUAAUUUUUAUAUUUUUAGUAGAGACGGCAUUUCACCAUGUUGGCCAGGCUGCUCUCGAACUCCCGACCUCGUGAUCCACCUGCCUCGGCCUCCCAAAGUGCUGGAAUUACAGGCAUGAAUUGCCACGCCUGGCUGAUAAUAUUUUAAAUAGAUGAGGUAUUGUGAUAUUUUCUUAGUGAAAUGCAGAUAGAAACACCAAAAGCAGAGAUUACCUGUAGCCUUGACUCUUUUGAAGAAGUGCAGUAUCUCUGUUUAGAAAUUGGGAAAUAAAGACUUAGGGAGUCUUCACUUGGGAAUAACUGACACACACAUUUUAAACUCUGUGAUUUUAUAAUUAUGUUGCUACGAACAAUCGUAACAAUGUGAGAUGUGGCCACAAUUCUGAACUAUUGAUUCAGAGGUUAAGCUAAUUUUCCAUUUUGCUUCAAAGCUCACCAACAAAUCUCUCUUCCCACAGAACUGUGCAUUAAGGACAGGUAAAACAACCUUUCUCAUCAGGCUUAUUGAGAGUAUUGAUAGUGCCCGUGAACUUCCGGCAUCUUUUUUGUUGAAAGCUGUUGCUGCCUUGGAUAUGACGCUAUGAAGAUGAAAUAUUCAUUUACUCGAUUGACAGUGAGAUGCUUUGCAGUUCUCAUCCAAGUGUCACAGAAUGCCUUGGUCCCCACCAGCUGAAAUGGGACCCUACCUAUUUUAAGAACUGCAGCAAUGGCGUAUUAGCUGUAGACACGUGGAUCUCUUCUGUAGCCUCUGCAGUAUUUGGGACCCAUAGAGAGGCCUUCUUCUCUUCCUUUCCUGGCACACUGUGAAUUGCCAAGACCUUGCAAGGGGGAUGGGGAAUGGGGUAGGGUGGAACGGUUCCAGCCUUUCAUGUGAGGGUCUGAAAUUGAGACUUUGAGGACAUACAUAUGAGUUGUGUCUUCCUGUUGAUAAAAAUUUCAUUUCACUUUAAAAAAUCUUUUUCCACCUGUUCUUAAAAAAACAAACAAAAAACAAGCAAACAAACAAAAAACCUGUUUUUCCUGGACCACUCACAAAGUAUAUAUGUAAUACAUAUUUAUUAUUAUUUUAAUCUCAAUCAGCAAAUUUCUCUCAUUUUUCUAUCUGCAACCAACCAUAAAAAAUCCAGGGAAAUAACUUUUUUUUUAUUUCUUGCUUUGCUAAUCAUCAUGGUUUUCUUCAGCUCUAGUAUCACCAGAUGAAUAUAUAUGGGUUUUUAGUUAAAAUUAACAUUAUGGCUCCUGAUCCUCAUUUAGCAUCUGUCUUCUUGGUAUGAAGGGGUAGAAUAUGAUAGUGGAGCUGGAAAGGAUUGGGGUGACCAUCUAAAUCAUUGCCCUCAUUUUGUUGUUGUUGUUGAUCUUUUUUUUUUUUUUUUUUUGAGAUGGAGUCUCACCCUGUCACCCAGGCUGUAGUGCAAUGGCACGAUCUCGGCUCACUGCAACCUCCACCUCCCGAGUCCAAAGUGAUUCCCCUGCCUCAGCCUCCUGAGUAGCUGAGACUACAGGCACGCGCCACCACACCUGGCUAAUUUUUUUGUUGUUGUUGUAUUUUUUAGUACAGACCGGGUUUCACCGUGUUGGCCAGGAUGGUCUCAAUCUCCUGACCUCGUGAUCUGCCUGUCUUGGCCUCCCAAAGUGUCAUUGCCCUCAUUUUUAAGAACAGCAACUUAAAAUGUAGCAAGAGUUGAAACUAGAGCACAGGGCUUCUAGUCCCAGCUGCAUGCACUUCUGUUCCCAGCCGCAUCCACUUACCAAGACACUCCGAGGCUACUGCUUCUGGGGAUGACUUGAGGAGGCACCAGCAGGGCCCUCUUCCCCAGUGCCUGUCCUAAUCUGUGAGAACAGCAAUCCUUUGAGGUUCGAAGAAGCCUUUUGUUAAAAACACUGCCUUUUGUUUAAAAAACUGUCUUAGGGAGGAGUCUCGCCUUAAGUCUGUUUUAACCAACUCCUUAGAUAUCUGCUAGCACCUUCCCAGGAUUUAGCAGAAUGAGACAAAGGAUGGGUUUGGGUUUUAGAGGCUAGAGCAGUAGGAUGGAAAACAUGGGCAUUAGUGUGAUAUGCUCUUGCCAUUCACAGUUUUCUUUAAUCUUCACAAUAAGCGUGUGUACUUGCGAAGUAGAUAAUAUUACCCUUAUAGUAAAGGUGAGUUCAAGAUUCAGUGAAGGUACAUGCCUUAUCCAAGGUCUACACACAAAAACUGAGAAACAAAUAUGUGAAAAAAAGCAACGGAAUCAUACUUUACUCUUUUUCCUUAUCUUCACCUGAGCUAAAUUUAUUUAGAAUUUUAAAGCACAAAUUUGCUGCCCUGUGUAAAGCAGGUGUGCCAGUUUGAAGACAGGUAUGGCUUUUUCAUGUAAUAGCAAGUAUUUGAUACACCCAAUAUAGUAAAUGGAGGUGAGGUUACAUUAAAUGAUGAUUCAAUCACUGAGCAGGUAUUUAGAGCGGCCUUGACUGUGCCCGACAGAAGCUAGGAUCAGAAGAACACUAUUGAGGAUCAGUCUCUAUCUUCAAGUGACCUACUGUGCACUUGGGAGAGUUUCCUACAAGAAGCAAUAAAGUAAUUGAUAGGACAAUUGUGGCUUAGCCUGUGAGUGUUGUAGGAGCUCAAAGAAGAGUGAGAUCAGUAGAGAGAAUGGUUCGAAGAGCCCCGUGGUGAAGGCAAGACUUUCUGAGACGAAGCAUUGAGAAUUUGGGUGGGUAUAGGACAAAUUCCAUAUGGAUGGCAGGCAGUGUGGUGUAGCUAAAGAAUAUAGGACUGGAAGGUAAAUGACUUUCAUUCAUUCUGGUCUUGACUAUUCAACAAAUUAAUUAUGGGGAUAAAAACCAAUGUUUUAAUCUCUAGGCUAGAUUCUGAAAUGAAGAAAUAAGCCUAGAUGAUCACUAAGGUCCCUUUUACUGCUAAUAUUUUAUAAUUUUAAACUAUGCCAAUUAAGUAUAGUGGCAUCAGUUGAGGCUGGAACAUGUCAUGAGAACCAAUGAUGCAGUGACAGAUGCAGGUGGCACAGGGACCCUGUGUCCUGCAGGCUUUGUCCUGGACAUGUUCUUGAGCAUCAAAAAAUAUUGUUGUUGCUGUUAGAUUAGUAUUUUAAUUAUAUAUAGAUAUAUAUAUAUAUAUAUAUAUUUUUUUUUUUUUUUUUUGAGACGGAGUUUCACUCUUGUUGUCCAGGCUGGAGUGCGAUGGCAUGAUCUCAGCUCACCGCAAUCUCCAUCUCCCAGGUUCAAGUGAUUCUCCUGCCUCAGCCUCCCGAGUAGCUGAGAUUACAGGCAUGCCCCACCACGCUUGACUAAUUUUGUAUUUUUAAUAGAGACAGGGUUUCUCCAUGUUGGUCAGGCUGGUCUCGAACUACCGACCUCAGGUCAUCCACCCACCUCGGCCUCCCAAAGUGCUGGGAUUACAGGUGUGAGCCACCAUGCCUGGCCAGUAAUAUAUAAUUUGUUCCUAAUUUUGUUCUUUGUGGUGUCUUUUUGGCCCUUAUACUUAUCAUGCGUUUAUAUGCCACACCCAAAGGUCCAUUAACUAGUGAACUUCUUGAAAUGCCUUGAUAAUGCCUAAUUAAUACCAUGGCUAGUAUAGUGCCACAUUAUUUGCUGCUUGAUAAAUAUUUGCCAGAGAAAAUUGAACGGCUGUUCAUGUGCUUGUCAAUUUUUUGGAACAUAAGAAAGGUGUAGUAGUAUUUGAAAUUGAUGCUACUAACUGGAAGUAUGGGGAGUGAGCAAAGAAGGGAAAGAUGAUCUUUCCAAUGUGGGGAAGGGAGGGGCAAGAACUGGGGCGCAUACCUCUAUCUCUCUACAAUUUUCCUGCUUGUGAAAUAUGGCCCCCUGCUGUAAUUGACAUUGCUACACCAGUAUUCCUAGUUAUAUGAAGAAAUUUAAAAGCAAAGGUGUAACUUUUAGGCUAAUUGUCUGUUGUCUUUGAAGUCUGCAGGAUAAUACUCUGUGAAUUAUCAUGUUGCUAGGCAAAGUUCAUUGGUGUAGAAAAGUUUCCUUGUAUUUUGCCUCCCAUAGAAGAUCAUCUGAGUAGUUUUUCCCUCCUGAAUUUUUGCUUGUUAAAAUUCAGGCUUCAGUGAUGUUCACAGAGUUUCUAGCCCAAAUCAGUUCAAUUAGAACCUACGAGGGUGUCUGUUCCUUGUUAGGACUGUAAGUGGUCUGACUUGUGUGACCUUGGUCUUUGCUAAUAGAAGCAUAGAAUAAGAACAAGCUGUGGCCACCUGGGGAAGGAUGUUACGUUUUAUGAUUUCCUCCUUUUAUCUACUUAAUUCUGUUCCUUUAAAGACCUUGGUAUGCAUGCAUGACUCCUGAAAGCUUGAUGUAGCUCCCACUAAAUAUGUAACCGAAUUAAUUGCUUUGCAAAAGGUCACCAAUAGCUUUAAACAUUAUAAAUUAUGAGAUUCAGUAAGUUCUGCCAGUAAAAAUCCCUCUAUUACUUCUUGUUCCUGAAACGUAUAAGACCUUUCGUCUAGAACGGUUUUCUCAUUUCUCUCCCACUCACGUCCCAUGUCAAUUUGUUUUAUCUACAUUAUGUCUAGGUCUCUUUCCUCAUUUCCCCAGGGGAAAUGGGUUUCACUGAGAUUAUUGAAGUGCUGCAAUUAAUUCCAUUUCCAUAAGAGAAGGGAAAUCUUUCCAGCUUCCAUAAAUCUAAAUGAAUGUGAUGAAAUAAAAAAAGAAAUAAACUUCUUGCCAAUCCAGAAUACUAUAUAUAAGAAUUAUCAGAGAUAGUCUCAUUAUAUAGUCAAUAGACUUUACUCUGAGGUUUUCAGAAGAUCUAAAUUUUUAGGAGGUUGGAAUUCAUAGUGUCUACAUACUAUAUUAUAAUAUCUUUAUACUAUAUGAGUAUCUUUACAUGAUUUACAUCAUUCUACCUGCAUUGUGUUAUAGAUUUUAAAUUUUCAAUGACAAUAAAGGAACUAUAGUCUAUUUUGUGUUUGGUCUUGUAGAGUGAAAAGUGAAUUCUAAUUCUGGCAGACACUUUCUGCAUGAAAUACAGUGAAGCAUUUCAGUUCUCUGUGCCUCUGGUUCCUUAUCUAUGAGGCAAUGUAGACCACAAUUUUUUUUCCUUUGUGUGUGCUUGCAAGGAGGGUAGGAGAAUGAGAGGUGAGAAAAGAGAAGGUGGAGAAAGAAUCUCCUUACCAUUGGCCUUCUGAAUUAAAACUUGAUGUUUUACUCACACUUUGGACAGAAUUUAAUUCCGCAAAGGGAAAUGUUUUGUUUCACCUUAAAUUAGAUAAAAACAUUUUGAAGGCAGAGACUGUACCUUCCCCACGUGUGUGUGUGUGUGUGUGUGUGUGUGUGUGUGUGAUUUCUAGUGGUAGUUUAAGAAUAACUGGGGUCUUGGCCUAUGGGAGAAGUUGACAAAUGUCCUUGGUAUGGACUGAACAUUUGUGUCUCCCCAAAACUCAUGUGUUAAAAUGAGAUGAUAUUAAGAAGUAGGGUCUUUGGGAGGUAAAUUGAUCAUGAGCAUGAAGCCCUCCUGGUUGGGAUUAGUGCCCCUAUAAGAAGAGACACAAGACCUUGUUCUCACUAUCUCUGCUCUCCACCACAUGAAGACACAGUGAGAAUGCAGUCACUGGCCAGCUAGGAAGGGGCCCCUCACCACACGCCAGAUAUGGCAACGCCUUGAUCUUGGAUUUCCAGCCUUCAAAACUGUGAGACAUAAAUUUCUGUUGUGUCAGCCACCCAGUCUGUGGUAUUCUUGUUAUGGCAACCUGAGCUGACAAUGACAGUUGCUUGAAGAAAUUGUAAAUAGGUGACCAACAGGAAUACCUCACAGUUACAGUGGAUGCUCAUCCUCAAUGAUUGACAGUGAAGUGUUUCUGUGGAUAUCAGCUGCUUGGUACUUUUCUGUGCAGGAUCACUCUUUGAAAUCAUGCCAGGUGUUGACAAACAUUUUUUUCAGAGCAUAGUCUUUUUAAUAAUUUCCAAAGAGAUCUUUUGAGAGGGAAUUUAAAUUUUUACAACCACCCAGAGCCUUUUAAAAAAUGUGUAAUUUUAAAAAUAUGCAUAAAUUUUAAAAUAUUGACACCGUAAUUUUCUGUAUCCUUUUACAUAAAUAGGAAAUUGAUGGUUCAGUCUUGCUGAAAUGAAUUUGUUUUAUUGGGGGAGGUGUGGCUAGAGAAUUACAGAACAGGGAUUCCCAAUUAGUUAACUGGUAUCUUCAAAGAUCUUGAAACUUUCCCUGAUCUGUGUGCAGUUUUAUUAUUGUUCCAGAUCUCUCAUCUUUUUAGUUUGUCAUUUUCAAGGACUUCUCAGUCUAUUUCUUUCUUUACCUCUGGUGUCCCCAAAUUUCCAGAAACAUAGAUUAUUUUCAGAAACAUAUUGUGGAGUCCCAGUCAGGAUUUCUGGUUUCUCUUGCUAAGGGGAUUACCUAAGUUCUUUCUGAAAUGCAUGUUUACUUAGUGAACACCCAUUUGGGAGUUUUAGAAAAGUACAUUGAGGUAGGAAACACCACAUUUCCAGUCGAAUAUGAAUUCAGAAUUCUCUCCACAUCUAUCUAAAGAAGGAAGCACAUUGCAGAUCUCUCAGGAAUCAAGCCCUGUCUGCUUCAACCAGGAUGGUGGGCUCCCUAAAUGCUGACAGCAGUUUCUCUGUACCCCCCUUUCUUGGUUUAAAUGUAGCAAUUGUUGUCAUUCUUGUGUUCCCUCAAGUUCAGGCCUGCUCAUUUUUCUGUCUGACCUUAGAAUGGCUUUUGUUUAGGUAGGAUUUCCUGUCAUGGACAUUCAGUUCCUAGAAUUCUAUUUGGUCCUGGUUAAACCACAUUGUGUAAAAGCCAUGGGUAUCACUAACUACACCUGUCAGUGAUGAGUUGGAAGGAUUUUAGGUGAUGAUUAAUGCCAAUCUCUCUUCUAUAAAACCUGGUUUCAGGAGUGAAACGUUAUAGAUAGGCUCUCAUUCCCAGGAGAAGCUCAAAAUACAUUUAUUUAUACCUCAUAAAUUAGGACUCAGCUGAUUCAGAACUGGCAAUAGUCUGCUUGUACUAUUUCAUAUUUAUCACCCAGAGGAAUUAAAAAACAAUAGUUGCCCUCUAGUAAUGACAUAAUCAGGAUCAGAGAAUGGUGUUCAGUUAUUUAAAAGAAUAGUAUGAACUUUAGCAAGCUAGUUUCUGAGAUUAUAUGUCUGCAGGGUUAGAAAGGACUUCAACAGUCAUCUUCUAUCGUCCAUGAGGCCUAUGUUUCUCUAUCUGUAAAAGGAGAGAUGGUUGGAUGGGAUACUUGCCCAGUUCUGAAAUUCUAUGAUGCUAUGUAGUGGGUGUUUCAGCAUAGAGUUAGUGACUUUUGGCAUCAGCCUCAGGAAUGAAUAUUUCUUGGGAAAUGUCAGAAAUGUUGAUUUCUAGCACUUUCUAGGUGGUAAAAUCCCAAACAAUGUGGUUUUUACUAUAUCAUUAUAGAUUUGCAAUUUACUCAAACAUUAUUCUGAGAAGAAACAGUUGACAUCUUGUAACUUAUUCAUAAGAAUUAUACAAUUGAAACCUCAAAAAAAAUCUUUCUAUGGACUGAAUGUUUGUGUCUCCUCCAACAUUUAUAUGUUGAAACCGUUAUCCCCGAGGUGAUGUUAUUUGGAGGUAAGACCUUUGGAAGGUAAUUGAGUUUGGAUAAGGUCAUGGGAUUAGUAUCCUUAUGAGAAGAUGAAUGAACCAGAGCUCUCUGUCUCUCCAGCAUAUGAGGGCACCACAAGAAGAUGCCAUUUGCAAACCAGGAAGAGCCAUGAUGGCACCUUGACCUUGGACUUUCCAGCCUCCAGAACCGUGAAAAAUAAAUUUUGUUGUUUAAGCCACCCAGUCUGUGGUAUUCUAGCAUCCCAAACUGACUAAAUCACAGCUCAAGAAAAUCUCUUCUUCUCUGUGAAUUCCACUGUUCACAAGCAUGACCUUGCCACAUCUUCAAACUACUCCCAUAUUCUUCUAACCCCUUUACAGCAUGGCUUUACCACUAAUUUCUUUUUUUUUUUUUUUUUUUUGUUGAGAUGGAGUCUUGCUCUGUCGCCCAGGCUGGAGUGCAGUGGUGCCAUCUUGGCUCACUGCAAGCUCUGUUUCCCGGGUUCAUACCAUUCUCCUGCCUCGGCCUCCCAAGUAGCUGGGACUACAGGCACCUGCCACCACACCCAGCUAAUUUUUUGUAUUUUUAGUAGAGACGGGGUUUCACCGUGUUAGCCAGGAUUUUACCACUAAUUUCUUAACAGAAUCUAUCACCAUCAAAACCAAUGACCUCUACCUACUGCUCUCCUCCCCAAUUUCUUCACCACAUUGAAUACUGUCCUUCUAGAAUGGGACAUUCCGUUCUUAGAAUCAUGAUUUCUUAAUCUAUCUCUGACUGCUCCUUUUCUGUCUCUUUGACAGAAAUAAGAAGAGCCUCCUCUACUUCCAGCUUCUAAAUCAUUAGUUGAAUACCAGGGAAAAGGGAGGGGACCGUAAAAUCAGAAACCCUGGGGGAGCUUUUCGACAUUGUUCUCAAGCCCAUGUACCAUGAGUCAGAAUUGUGGAAGGAGAGAAAUGUGUGGUUGACCCAUGUGUACAACUGACACAACGGUGGGCAUAAAGUAUCAAAUAAUAAUUCUAGUGCCUGCUGUCAUUUAAUGGAGGGUCAGAGGGAGAGCUGUUUCAUCGUUGCCUCUUGCACAGUUAGGGAUCCAUUUUCAUUUCCACUUCAAGGAGGGAGUGACUCUUCCUGUCAAAUGGAAUUGAAAUUCUCCCUUUUAUCAUCAGAAUACUCCAAAGGAGCUUCAUGUCACAGAGAUUUAUAGCCACCAGGGAGCCCUCAAGAAGCAAGAAGUGGGCACACGUUUACAACAAACUACAUAGAAUAAAAACUUGCAAUAUGGAGAUUUAAGCCAGACCAAAACCAGUCUUCUAUCCCCACUGGCUUUUAUUUCUCACCUCUUUUAGUGAGAAGACACAUAAACAGACUGACGUCAUAAUCUACUGCUUAUCUCCUACUAAUAGCAUGCUACAUGUGGUUAAUGCUGGGGAAAUGAUAAUGGUUCUCAUCCAAUCUAUCAACAGUAUUGUUUGUCUUCAUAAAUUCUGGAGUUAAACUGUGUAAGCAUAGCAUCAAGAAUAGGUAGAAACCUUCUUGAUAGUUGAUAUUUGGCUGCUCAGACUAGGAAGAAAAUACGUAAUCACUGUGGAAUUCUAUCUCCAGACAUAUUUCUGACCUAGGAAGCUAUGUAUUACAUUGGCUUUCCCCAAAUAUCUGGAAAGUCUAGAAUCUUCAGAGAAUACUGCCAACUUCUCAGCAAGACAGCAAAUCUUAGAAGCAAGUCCGAGGAUAGGGGGGCAGUGUGCUUUGGGGAGAUAUGGAUGAUUAGGUCUUCUGCCUCCAGGCCUGUGCAAAGCAACCUCCCCUUCCUUGCAAAUGCACCACACUGCUUCUGCCUAGAGGAGGUGAAAAUGCCAUAAUACCUACCCGCAAAAGACUUACUCUUAAUUUAUUUGUAAAAGCUAAGUGUGGUUGCAUGUGGGUGGAGGGAGUCCUGAGGCUUAGCAACAUUCAGGCAGGAGACCUGAGGUUGGUCUCAAGGCCUCCUCUCCCUCUGAAUUCUAUGGUCCUCCAGGAAAAAGGGCAUCACAUCAUAGAAUUUCUCUACAGGUUACUUGGGAAACCGAGAAUACACUGGGCUGUGUGUGACAUGUUGCCCAAAUAUAGUGAUGUUUCUCAAAGAAAGAAAACCACAUGUAUUUGUUGCAGGGUGUGGGACGGUGUCAGCUCAGGGGCAAGGUGAGUUAUUGAGAACUGUGGGCUCUGGCUCAUGCUAGUAAGUUCUUCUUUCAUCAUCUGUUUCAGUUGCUUUUAUAGUCAUCAAGAAAGAAAGUCAAGGCCCGGCACAGUGGCUCACGCCUGUAAUCCCAACACUUUGGGAGGCCGAGGCAGGCAGAUCACCUGAGGUCAAGAGUUCAAGACCAGCCUGGUCAACAUGGCAAAACCCCAUCUCUACUAAAAAUACAAACAUUAACCAGGAGUGGUGGCGGGCGCCUGUAAUCCCAGCUACUUGGGAGGCUGAGGCAGGAGAAUUGCUUGAACCCGGGAGGUGGAGGUUUCAGUGAGCCGAGGUCACACCACUGCACUCCAGCCUGGGUGACAGAGUGAGACUCCGUCUCAAAAAAAAAAAGAAAAAAAAAAAAAGAAAAUAUACCGUGAAAGAUAGCUUUCACCUGUUUUUAUUUGGGAUCAACAGAUAUCAGAGUUUCCAUCAAUUAAGGACACUUAUUGAGCACCAAUGCUAAGUGUUAGGGAUUUAAAGAUGAGCAAGGCAUAGUCCCCACUUUUUAAAUGAGCAGAGGAGACAAACAAAUAACAAAUACAGCAGAACCACUCACUAUUCGGAGGGGCUUCCAGAGAGCCACAGGGCUUAGCCUUAUCAUCUGUUGAACUUCUUAUGGUACCAAUAUUUCUUGGUUUGUACAGGUUUUCUCCUGUUUAGUUAUCAGAUUUUAUAUUUGUUACUUGACAAAUGACAGGAACCAUUGACAGAUGUGCAAACACUCCUUAAACAGUCAUUUGUCAAGAGGCCUAGUGCAAUAAAGAAUAAAGGCACAGUGCUUACCUGAGUAUGGAUGACUCAUGCAAGUGAAAGGCCUGCAGACCCAAUGGGAGGAGUAAGAGAGAAAGGCAUGGCCUGUGCUAUUUUCCCUGGUGUUCUUCUGCAAUCAACAACAUUUAUUCUCACAUUUUAAAGUGCUUUUGUUACUUUGCAGAAGGUGAGUGUCCAAAAAAAAAAAAAAACCCACAAUAUUAACAGGUUUACAUUGGCGACUCCUAGUAUUUAUUCAGGAUACUAUUUUGCGGUUCAUAAGCUGAAAGUGGAAUAGUAUAAAUGAAGAAUUGAUUACACAAUUGAACCGUAAAUGCUUGUGCCCUGUUUCACUAGUGUAAGAUUUAAGUUUACUCUGAUUCCUCCCCCUCGAUAAAAUUCUCUACUCUUUCCUUUUAAAAAUGAUUUAUAUUAAAUAUUAAAUAGAAAAGGAUAUAGUAAAAUACAUGUAUGCUGUAUAGAAUAACACUUUGAUAACAUUAUAUGUACCUGCCAUCAAGAUUAAGAAAUACAACUUUGUGGCCCUCCCAAGUUUAUUGCUUUCCCCAUCUAGUAAAAAGCUCAUUAUGAAUUUUAUUAUGAAUUUUGUAUUUAUAAUUUCCUAAUUCUUCUGUAUAGUCUUAACACAUAUAUUUGCUUUCUCAAACAAGAUGUCAUUGGUUUUACAUAUUUCUUAAUGUAAUAUUGAUAGGAUAAUACUAGAUGUAUAUUCCUUUUUAAAAAUGUAACUGUUAUGUUUAUGAGUCAAUUCAUUGUUAACUGCCAUAUGAAAUUCCAAAAUUUUUUUCUGUAGAAAUGUGCCACCAUUUUUCUAUCUUCUCAAGUGAUCAGGAAAAUGUUCUAGUGUCUCUCUGUUACAAGCAGCAGUACUAGAAGCAUCCUUGUGUAUAUUUCCUUGUUCACUUGUCCAAGAGUUUCUAAGACAUACUUAGAGAUUGCUAGAUUAUAAUGAAUGCAUAUAUGUUCAGAAGAGAUGAUAUUAUUAGUAUGCCAGUGCUCCUCCAACAGAUCUAUAGAUUCAUUGCAAUCUCAAUUGAAAUCUCAGCAGGCUUUUUGGUAGAACCUGACAAAUUGAUUAUAAAAUUUAUCUGGAAAUGAAGAAGGUCUGGAAUUGCCAAAAUAAUUUUGAAAACAGAGGCCAAAGUUAAGGAAUUUAUACUACUGAUUUCAGGACUUAUUGUAAAGUAAGCAAAACAAUGUAGUAUUGGCAUAAAAAUAGACCAAUAUUUCAAGGGAACAGUAGUCUAGAAAUAGAUGACAUAUAUGAGCAGUGACUUUUGAAAAAAUGCUAGGACAAGUCAGUGGGGAAAGGAUAAAUCUUUUCAACAAAUUAUGCUGUUAACAAUUAGGUAUAGUCAAAUGCCAAAAAAAAAACCAAAAAAACUUGACCCUUACCAUAAACCACAUACAAAAAUUGACUCAAAGUGAAUCAUAUAGUGAAAAUCAAAACCUGAAACUAUAAAACUAUAGAAGAAAAUCUUAGAAUCCUUAGUUUGACAAAGUUUUCCUACAUGCAACAUGAAAAGCACAAUCUGUAAACAAAAAGUCAAUGAGUUAUACCUCAUGAAAAUUAAAAACUUUUGCUCUGUGGAAGACCCUGUGAAGAGGAUGAAAAGACAAGAUACAGUUUGGGAGGAAAUCUUUUCAAAAUACAUAUCCAACAAAACAUUUGUAUAUAGACUAUACAAAUGACUCAACACAAUCUAGUUAAAAACAGGGCAAAAUGUUUUCAAACAGAUAUGAAAUCCAAUGACUGAAGAGGAAAAAAUAAUCUGUACAACCAAGAAAUACUGGUAGCAAGUUCAUCGAAUGAUAAGAUUGAGCCUCGUGGCCAUCUGAAAGGUCCUCUGAAUAGUGAGAGGUUUUGCUGUAUUUAUUACUUACAUGUCUUGUCUUCUCCACUCAUCUGAAAAGGAGGGAUAUGCCUUGCUCAUGUUUGAAUCCCUAAGAUUUAGUAUUGGUGCUCAAAGUAGAUUGUGACACUUUAAGGAUGCAUAUGUUCAUUCUAGGAAAGAAUUUAAAAAUGCAAAGAGAUGUAGCUUAAAAUGCAGUGGAGGAGAUAGAAGAAAUUAAAAAAAAAAUACCACUUCGCACAAAAGAACACAGGAAAUGAGGAAAAGAUAAGGGACAAAGUAACGAAGAUCAGAGACGCCAAAUAUUAAAAAAACCAGCAAGAUGGGAGACUUAACCACAGUCAUAUCAAUACUUACAUUAAAUGUAAAUGAACAAAAUAUAUUUUUCCAAAAGGCAGAGAUUUGAUUAUAUAUAUAUAUAUAUAUGUAUGUAUAUAUAUUUAAAACAGGACCCAGUCAUAGGAUUCUGCACAUAUAUAAUUUAAAUAUAAAGAUGCACAGCAAUUAAAAAAUUGAAAGUAAAUUCAUGGAAAAAUACACAUCAUUGCAAACACUAACCACAAGAAGGUGCAUAUGGUUGUAUAAAUAUCAAAAUAGGCUUCAAGACAAGAAGUCCUAUCAGACAUAAAAAGGGUAAAAUCAUAAUGAUUCACAGUCUUAAAUGUUUAUGCACCUAAUAACAUACCUUCAGUAUCCAUGAAGCAAAAAUAGAAAGGGAGAAAGAUAUACCUUCACAUAGAUAUUUGGACAUUUUAACAUUCUUCUUUCAGUAAUUUACAGAACACGUGAUGGACCAUUAAUGAAGAUACAGAAAACUCAAGAAACACUAUCCAUCAGCUUGACCAUAUAGAGAGUUAUUUACAUCAUUCAGUUACUGCAGAUUACAUACUCAUUUUAUAUGUACGUGAAGCAUUUAUCAGGAAAGCCUAUAUGCUGGGUCAUAAAACAAAUCUACCAAUACAAGACAUUAAUACAUUCAUUUUUAAUUCAAUCACAAGGACAUAUAUCUUAUAAUUAUUUUCUUAAUCUUUUGAAGAGUAUUUAGAGAUUUAGCAUCACUAUACCUAUUUUUUUUUUUUCAGUUGAGAAAAGGAACCUUGGUUAGUCCCCAGGUUAUUCUAGUUAAAUCCAAUCUGAGUGUCCUUAGUGGCCAUGCAUACCACCUAUAUGAUUGCAUUAUAUUAAGAAAGUUGUUACAAAGCCUUACUACCCUUUGGCCCUCCGUGGCUAGUUAUCCCUGGCAUUAUUAGUAAAGAACAACAGCAUGCAACCAUUUCUUUCAACCUGUGGGGGAAAGAAAGAGAGAUCAGACUCCCCUCAGUCUCUCAUCUCCACCUUGCAAUACCCACAGGUGUGGAGUGGCAGGCCCCCUUCAUCAACCAAAUAAUUUAUGUACACAGAACCACUUUCUUCCUACGAUUUCAACUCCAGGCUCAUUUAAAAGCCAUUACUUCCAAAUAAUAAUGGCAUUGUAAUUCACAAUAUGUAAAUGAGGAAGUAGAACUUGGUGCUACUGUAAAACAAAUCGAGUUAUUCAAAUUAAAAGGCUUGAUUCAAGGAUACCCUUAUUCUUUCGUUUGUAAAUAAUUAUUAAGUCUUUCUGACAUGAUAGGUCCUUGUUUUGAAAGAGCUUAUAGCCUACAGAAGGAGACAGACAAAUGUGCCAGGUGUGUCUCAUUUUUAGAUAAAAUGAGAACAUAUUCCCUUUUAAAGAACAUAUGUACAAUGGUCCCAGCCUCCCUCCUGCUUGAAUGCAGUAAUUUUAGUCUUUUGCAAAAUUUUCUUUCCAUGUAUUUCUGGGAGUUUCUAGGAGACGGUAACUGUUAAAUUAAUUCCUUCCCUUGCUGCUAUGUUCCUCAGCUAGCCAGCACUCUCAGUUCUGCACAAGGGCCACAGCUGGCGUUCAUGUAUCCCUUACUUCCUGAAAUGGCUCCCUUUGGACGGCUACUGCUCUCCCCCAUGGUGUUUCAUCCGAGCAUGGGCCUCUAAUUCUACAAGAUUUACAGUGUGUUCAGUAAUAGAAGAAAAAACAACAAAGAGGACAAUUUAUCAUAGCAACUAGAUAUGGUAACUAUUAAAGCCAACAUACCCAGAC